GUUGCAGAAGCUGCACCUCCACUCGGGAGGUUGUUAUCAAUUUAUCACUCUGCUUUCGUGGAGGGAGUUCAAACGGACUUCAAGAUUGAACCAUCGUUUGGAGUUGAAGCCUCGCAGCUUUAUCCUGAUGUCAAGUACACUACAGUUGAUGAGUACCUCAAUCAGUUUGUGUAACCCUUCUCUGCUUCCAGCUGCAGCUUGCAGGAUCUUGGACUCUGGGUAAAUAAAUAAUGGGCUUGUUGCAAUCUUUGGUUUUUAUAUGUAAAAAUUAUGGUUGUUGGCCUUACUUUCUUCUGGUUGUCAAUGGAAUUUGUAAGACCAUUUUAUGUUUGCUAUGUCAGUGAUCAAAUGAAGUAGGCCAUGUACUUGAUCUGAGAAUAAUUAUAAAGCCAACAUGGUCAGGUGAGUGCGUCUGUGGGGCUUUUAUUAGGGUGCGUGUGUGAGGCUUCUGAGGGGCUUGUGAUAUGGGGUCUACAGCCCCUAAUGGGCACGCGACUGCGUGCACUAAAUGAAGUUAUUAUAAAAAUAAUUAUAGAGUCACCAAGGCAAAAAUUAAAAGUAAUUUGCCAAUAAAAAUAGUUAAAAGUAAUAAAAAGUAGGUAUUAUAUUUCAAAAAUCAAUUUUUCAUUAAUGUUUAUAAGAUUAAAUUUGUUCUUAUCUUUCCUUAAUAAACACAAAAAUUUAUCGUUUUGGACUAAUUAAAAUUUUAAAACUAGCUAACAAGCAAACCGCCAUUAAUUUUUUUUUUUCCAUUUCUUUAAUCAUUCUUUUUUCUCUUUUUGACCUUUUUCUUUUUCUUUUCUUCAGUCCUUAUUUUUCUUUUCUUUUUUGGUUUUCCUCUAAACUCUUUAAGAAAGGCUGCCAAGCCUUGAAAAUAUCUCAAAAAAUAAGAUUUUCUUUCUUAAGAUUAACAUUUUAACCACAAAAAUAAAACUCUAGUCCAAACAUUGAGCACUUACAAAUCAAACGAUAAAAACCUCUUAUUAGUACAUUAACCGUAAAAUAAAAAAGAAUUAUCACAAAUAUUGAAAUGUUGUUGUUUGAUGCUUGAGAUUCUUGAAAUGUAUGCAGAAUUCCGACAAUAUUUUGUUGAAGCAACUCUCGGAAACUUGUUUGUUGAGAUUGAUGAAGAGUCCAUGGCAAGUAACCAGGCAUAUUGCAAUCCUUGUAAUUAUUCUGACCGAGAACAAUAAAACAAAAAGUGAAAACUGAAGAAAAUGAUAAGAAAACAAUAGAAUAAUAAUAUUAAAAACUCGCUAAUCUUGCCCAAUUUUUUUUUUUUUUGGAUAAUGUUCAGCGUAUACUAGAAUCUUUUAGAGCAGAAGCAAAACAGCAACAACUUUUCAAGAAAAGAAAAAAAAAAAGAAUUAUUAAAGAAAAUGGAAAAAAGAAUUAACGGCAGUUUAUUUGAUAGCUUUUAGAUAGCCAAAACCGGUGAGUUUUUGUGUUUUAAUAAGGAUAGUUAGGAAUAAAUUUAAUCCUCUCUAUAGAAUCAUUUAGUUACUAUGUGUCAAAAUCUCCUGUAAAGAAUAGGAAAAAUUAAAUUAGAAGAGGAUCCAAAUCAGGACUUGACUAGCUUACAGAAUCUGUAAGCUACGGACUGCAGCAUCAGCCGUUGGAUGUGGUUGGAUGUGGAGUGAGAAAUUAAACAAUAGAAGAUCGGAUGGUGGGAUGACGGGAGAUGUUUGUUACAGAAUCUGUACCAUAGACAGGUCCUCCAAAUCAUCAACAUCUUGGAAUAAACAAAAGAAUCUAAACAAAAGAAACUCGUUUUGCGUGUGAACCAGUUCAAGAUAAAGAGCAGACUAUUGGAAAGAGACAAAUACUACAAGAAUAACAAAACAUUCUACAGUUACUACAUAAGCCUGCAACAAUUAAUUAUUAACUCAAGAUUUAUUACACUUUUUCUUUAAUUUGACAAAGAAACCAAAAAUGAAAUAAAAUUGACAACAGCAAUGAUAUGCUUACAACAAUGAGUAUGAAACUUAGUACAACAAGGACCUUUUUGCUAAUUUUUUCAAAUUUUUAUGAUAUUUUAGAAUUUAUGGGUUUUAUUGAUUUUGAUAAAUUGGAGCAUUUCUCCAUUCAUCUUUUCUGCAUCUAUCCCUAAAUUUCUUAUCUUUGUAAAGUUUUAACUAUGUCUUUGUAAAGUUCUAAAUGAUUAUCUCGUUCAUAGAGAUCUAUAGUUAAAUUAAUUCUUGUAUUUAUAAUCAUUUGUCUCCUUUGAGACAUAGACCAAAUUUUUUCUUCUAACAUUCCUAUGUAUAUUCCUAAGCUAUAUUUCCAGCUUAGGUACAUCUUAUCUAGGAUUUCACAAAUAAAUUGUAAUUUGAGAUCUGCAUCUUGAAUCAACAUCACCAUAUUAUUAUUAUUAUUAUUAUUAUUAUUAUUAUCCAUUGUUUUAUACUCGAUUUUGGGUUCUAUUACUAGUCGCACUUGUCUUGGAUUAUUUCAAGGCUAGAUAGAAUUGAUUCUAUUAAUGCUAUCCUGUUUCCUUCUUCAAAUGAAUCGAAUAUUUUUGGAUCAAUAAUUCUUUUCAUUUCUUCAUACAAGUGUUUGCUUGUAAUUAAUCUAGUUUUAACUAUGGAAAUUGUAUAAGCAACUUGAUAUUCUUGACUAAAGUCUAGAUGAUCAAUUGCGUCUAGAAAUUUAUUAACAGAUCUUUCCAUUUUUAUGAAAUUGAGUUACUUUUAUCACUUCCUAUCUUAUAACAUUUCAGAAUACAAACAAGGCCCAACAUGCUUCCAUUUGUUGCUAAAAUAAAAGAAUAGAGUUCAAGAUUACUAACCAGUGUACAUUUCUCGGAAUUCUAAGAUAGAUUCACUAAUUGCCUCCAACCAUAGAGAGGUCUAUGGUUAACUCCGCCAUAGCUCCACACAUCAUAUAAGAUCACUUCAACGACUGUUACAUAGGCCCAACGCAACAUAUAGCAAACGGGCCUAAAAGAAUAUGUCUAAGUGAUUUGCUUACAGCUGUCUCUGGAAGAGUGCUUAGUAGUAGAAAAUCUUCUUCCUUUAGCACAAGUAUUGGCAUGUAAGGUUCUUGGUUAUUUUCUAAGAGUAUAUAAGAUAUCUGGAAGAUGACAAUUUCGCUCAAAAGAGUUUUAUUUAUUUCAUCAUUGAAAUUAUUUACAGAGGAUGGUUACAGAGAAUACAGGUGUAGGUGUAGGUGUAGGUGUAGGUGUAGGUGUAGGUGAAGGUUAGGCAUGUGAUGUCCUUCCCUUCUUACAUGUUUCUAUUUAUAAUCUUAAAUAGAUAAGGUUAUCUCUUUUACAUGACACUUGUUUAAUUCUCUUGGUGGAUUGUGGAUUCUUUCCUGAUAAGGUGACCCUUCUUCUUUUUAUCAUUAAAGACAGUGGUUGUCUUCUUUUCCUGGUGGUAGACAGCCUUUAUCUGGUUGUAGUGUGCUUUAUCUUUUUGGAAUCUUUCUUUUUGAAUUAUUAAUGCUUUUAGGAUAGCACCUUUUAUCUUUUCCAAUGGUUCCUGUCACAUGCCAAGUAUCAAAUCUUCCUCUAGUGACAUGUCUUCCCCACUAGAAUCCUUUUUUGAUCCUUCGUAGCAGUAGCCACAUGAUGACUGAUGUUUUAGCACCUUGCAUACCUCGUGAUGUGUCAGUAAGCUGGAUUCCACGAGAUUUUCAUAUAUUGCCUUUUUCUUUUUUGAUAUGGCCUGUCUGGCUAAAAUGCUUUCUUUUCUACUUAUAGAAAAGAUUAUAUGCUCCUUUGUGGCUUCGUGGAGCCAUAUUUUUUCCUCACUUAUCCUCUCAAGAGAUUCAUAGAGGACUUUCAUUCCUACGGCUCUUUUGCUGGUGAGAGCUUUGGGUUCGAAAAAUUCAGGAUCAUAAUCAUUAUAGACUUGAUCUAUAUCAAUAGUUGGACUAACUUUUUGCUGCUAAUUCUAACUUAAAUCAUGUGCUGUGCUACCACUUGUUUUCACCGUAUUAAGGGCAAGCAGUGAGGAUCUUGAUAAAAAUUAGUUCUUUUGUUUUGGAUAUCCUUUUGUGGUCAUUAACAGCCUCUGUAUUUUUUUCUAGGAGCUCUUUUAUUUUCCUACAAUCAUCACGGACAUAAACAAGGUUAAGAAAACCGUAUUCAAACAUGUCUUUUAUCAAUUUUGGAUAAGCUCCUAGCACAAAUUUUAUCCUUGGGUAUAACCCUGAAUGAUAUGGUAUUAUAGUCUGGUUAUGAUGAAUCACAUAAGUUAUUUUACCAAUUCUUUUAUAAUUAUAAGCGUUGUCGCUUCCUAAUGGAUUUUUAACCAUAGGAACAGACUGUCCGCUUUUAUUAUAUUGGGGCCUUAAGCUCACUGAAGACCUUUGAGAUUCUUCUUUCUUCAUAUAUUAUUCUUUGAGAUCAUUGAUUGUGAGAAAUUUCUCUAGAUGUGUGACCUUUGAGUUCUGUGAAGAACUCUGGGCAAUCUGAUCCUUAGUUUGAUCCUUAAAAUGGACCUUUUUUUAGCAUAUUACUAAUAGAUUGUUAUGAAAUUUGGACUUCUGGAUGAUUUUGCAAACUUUUCUAUAGGCAAAGUUUGCUCAAUUCUUCAUGGGCAUCAUCUAUCAUGGCAAGCCUAUUAUAAAUUAUACCAUUGCCUUUGAGAAGCAAUUCUUGACCUUCAGAGCACAUUAUUAUGCCCUUAAUUAUUUUGGAAAGACCCUUCUCCAUUGUAUUCUCGGCUAAGAAAAUUUGCAAUAGAAUUGUUAGAUCCUUUAAUAUAUUCAAUUUCAAAAUCAUAUUCAGCAAAAAAACCGUUGCCAUUUAAUUAAUCUUUUAUAUUAAGGGAGAUUAGGCAAUUUAUUAAAUAUAAAUCCUUUAACUCGAGUGUUAUCAGAUCUUACCUUGAAUUUCUUUGGUAACAAAAAAAAGUAAAUUUAGCUAUUCCAUUUUUAAUAGUUAACAGUUCAUUUUCAUUACUAUGAUAAUUCUUCUAUGCGGGUUUGAAUGUUCUGGUGGCAUAUCUACAAAUCUUUUCUUGAUCUGUUUUUAAGACUACACCCCAGUAAUUAUCUGAAGCAUCGGUCUCAAGAAUUAAAUUAUCACUAGAAGUAGGGAAUCCUAAUCUUGGAAGAUUUUUACAUUUUUCUUUCGAUUUUUUUACUACUUUGGUAUGGAGAUCUUUCCAUGAUUUAGUAUUAUUCUUUUUUAAUAAUCCUUGUAAAGAUUGUCUUUCUUUAGCUAAGUUUUCUAUGAAACCUUCAGCAUAAUUAAGAUAUCCUAAAAAUAUUUGAAUUUGUUCUUUAGAUUCUAAUUUAUUUGGGAAUAGAUAUAUUUUCCAAAAAUAUGAGGUUGCAUCUCAAUUCCUGUUUCAUCUAUUAUUAACCCUAGAAAUUCUAUCUUGAGUUUCAUUAUUUCAGCUUUCUUUUUAGGGAGUAAUAUUCCAUGUUUCUUGCAUUUCUCUGCAAAAGAAACGAGAUGAUUAAUAAGAUAUAUCUUAUUAUCUGAAAAUAUAAAAAUAUCAUCUAAAUAAACAAUGUAGAAUUCAUGAAAUUCUUUGAAGAUUUGAUCCAUCCUUCUUUCAAAUAUUUUUGGUGCAUUUUUCAAUCCAAAAGGCAUUACAAUCCAUUCAUAUUAUCCUUGAGGUGUACUAAAGGCAGUAAGUGGUAUACUUUCUACUUUAAGUUUGAUAUGUCAAAAUCCAGAUUUGCAAUCAAACUUGCUAAAUGUCUUUUUAUCGGUCACGGAGAUAAUUAAUGUAUCUUUAUAAGGUAAAAAAUAUCCAUUGAAUUUGGUAUAUUUAUUUAAUUCUUUGUAGUUAAUAACCAUGCGAGCUUUUCCUCAUUUAAUUUCUACAUGAUUUCUAACCAUAAAGGCUGGACUACUAUGAGGACUUUUAGAUUUCAAAUAAUCUUAAGUUCUAAUAACUCUUCAAUUUUUUUUAUCAAAUUCUUGUCCAUGUUCUUGCCCAUCUCUCAUAGGCUUAACUCUUAUGAUACCAUUUAGAUCUGUUAAUUCGAUCUUAGCAUAUGUUUAAUCAAUUUCUCAUAAUUGAAUUGGGUUUUCACCAAAAUUUUUAUCAAGUUUUUCUAAAAUUUUUUCAUAGUCUAACAUGAUUUGAAUGAUUUUUAUAGUGUAAUCAACACACUGACUGUGUCGAAAAUGUAAUUUUUGAGUUGUGCGCCUAACAAGGUUAUAAAUUCUCGGGGUAGUAAUGGAAUGAUUACAUGGUGUUUUGAGAGUAAUGGCUUCAUUAGUCAUUAUAUAAAUGAAUUGACGAAGGAAAUUAACUCCUAAAAGUAUAUAUGUUCCCAUAUGAUCAUAAGACCAGAAUAUAGGGAUACUUAAGAUGUAAUCUUCGAUUUGGAUUAAAGUCUUAAUCCUACAAGUCCCUAAGGUGAUCUGUUCAUCAUUUGUUCCUUAUCCUUUUAAAGGCUUAUAAUCUUUCCAAUAUGGUUUUGGAUAAAUCCUAGAACUGGCAAAACUAACUCCUAAACCAGUAUCGAUUAAAGCAUAAAACCAUUCCAGUUUAUGUUUAUAAUAUGGUAUAAUCACUUUUAUAUAAAUUAUAAAAGGAUUAGACAUAUCUUGAUAUGGUUUGCUUAAUUCCUUCAAUUGUUAUACUUAUUUCUCUAUCUCCUGUACAAUAAGGAGAGAAAUUCUAAAGAAAGUUCAUCCCUAAUAAUAAAGGAUUUAUUUCUGUUUCAUAAUAUGGUUCUAUGAAAAAAGGAAAGAUGAAUUUUGUUCCUUUUAUUUUUAAUGGUAUUUUACAAUAUUUUCUUAAUGUCUUUCUUUCUCUAUUAAAUCCUACAUAAGUAUGAGGUUCAAUUAGAAUUUUUCUUUCUAAAUAUUUAAUCAUUUUAGCAUCUACAUAAGAUUUUGUAGCUCAUGUAUCAAGGAUAGCAAAAGUCUCGUGCCAUGAUUUUCCAUUAUUAUAGUCAAUCUUAAUUUUUAGAUUUUGAUUAUUUUUUCUAAUUGUGGCUAAUAUUUCAUGUGAUGGUGGUGUCACAAGAUGACUACAUCUAGUAAAACUUUGGGUUCCUCUGAAUUUUGGUUCUCUUUUGGGUAUAGAGAAUGAUCUUUUAUGUCUUAUAAUGAUUCUUCCUUCUGGAGUAUAUUCUAUAGAUUUAGUAGUAUUUCCUUUAAUCAGAGUAGGUUGACUACUUAGAUUCAUUUUCCAUUCUUAUGAUAAAUAUAUUUCUCUCUGGAUUUCAGGAUAUUUUAUAUUUCUAACUUUACUAAAUAAUUUAUCUAUUUCAAUAAAAUAUUUAUUAGCAAACAUUUCACUAUUUGCUGAAUUUGUUAAUGCAUAUUUUAUGGCAUACAUUAUGCUAUAUGGAUAAGACCCCUCAUGCAUUAUAUCAAAGUAUUUAAAAUCAUGACAUAAGGUUAAUGUUUUAUUUAUAUUUCUAUCCCUAAGACUUAUAGAAUAUUUAGGAUAUAUCUUAAAUAUCAAUUUUUUAUAACUCAAGUUUCCUUGUAUUAUUCUAGGGACUGCAUGUUUUCGAUCUUGUAUUCUAUUAUCUAGUACUGCUAAAAUUAUUGGACUAUCUAUUCCUUCCCGAAAAUGAGCUUUUAUCAUAAACUGAAUUCCUCCAAUAUGAUCAUAUCCAAUUUUGGGUCUAUUGCUAGAUUUUAUCUUACUGAUUUUAUCUUCUAUAUCAGUCUUUAAUAAUAAUGGUAUAUUUGUAUUUCCCUUAGCAUACCUAAUUUCAAUAUGUUCUUCUCACACAGUAGCACUGAAAUACAUAACAUUUUUUCUUUUAAUCAUGGUGGCAAUUCCUAGAGCUAACUUAUUGACUGAAGUCAAGGAUGAUUCUAAUCAUUUUUUUGUUAAUCUUGAGGUAUUGUUUUUUUUUUUUAUCAAAGAUUAAUUCUUUGUUAAAAGAACCUUGUUCUUCUAAUUCUUCAUCUUGAUAUAAAUGCUUAUUAUCUAAUUCUUCUAUACUCAUUCCAAAUAUGAUUUUGAAUCUGAGCUACUUAAAGUUUCUUCAGAAAGAUAAUAUAUGCUAUCACUUUCACUAAUACCUUCACUAUCUGUGAUUAAUUCUAAAUCAUUAAAAUCCUCAAACAUUUUUAUAUUUUCUUUUUUCUUUUUAGGACAUUCAUUUGUAUAAUGCCCUUCUUCAUUACAUAACCACCACUUGCAUUCUUUAACUACAUUGGUUUUAAAUCUUCUUUUAAAUUUAUUUUUCUUGUAGAAUUUCUUCUUAUAUUUAUUUUUCUUGUAAUAUUUCUUGUUGCCUUUAAAGAAUCUCUUCUUUUUGAAUUUAUUCCUAUAUUUAUAAGUUUUAUCUGAACAUCCAAAUCUUGGUGGAUCUUCUAACUUAGAGCAAAACAAUCCUUGAUUUAGCCUUUUCAUAAGUCUGUUAUCUCUUAUUUCAGCACACCAUUCACUCAUUCUAUUUCGAGCAAACCUAAUCUUAUUUCCUAAGGUAUCAGUCUCUGUUGUAUCUUCAUAUUUGUUGUUAUAUUCUAGCAUAAUCCUUUUCUCCCAUGGGUCUGGUAUCCUUAUAAAAUAUAGAUCUUAGUAAUAGCAUAUGCUACUUUCAUCUAAUUCACAUUUAUAAUAUAAUUCUUCAAAGCUACACGUGUAUUCUUCUAAAUAACAUAUAUUACAUAUUUCAAGCCUUGUUAGUUUUAUUACAUUUUCCAUCUUUUUUUCACUUUAUUUCUUAUUGAAAACCAGUUUCUCAAUCUUCUCCUAGGAAUUUUUUUCUUAUUUCAUUUUCAAAUCUAUUUAAAACUUGAUCCAAGCUUUCAUUUUGAUUAUUAUUUUCUCCAUACAAUAUUUUAUUUUUGUUAUUAUCGUUUAGUCCCAUAAACGAAUGUGACACUAUUCCUACAAAUGAAGUUUUAAGGAAUUCUAUACUAUUAUUCCUAUCUAUUUUGUUAAAUACAAAUGCCGUUUUCAUAGAUUUAACCCAAGCGAUAAUCGUUUUAUCUCUAUCUUUGACAUAGUCUAAAUCUAACCAUACUCCAUCAUGGUUGAUUGGUCUCUCUCUAUAUUUUCCUGGAGUUUUAUAAUUUUUUUAGGCUUGUUAACCCUAAAAUAUUGAUGUUGUGAUCUUUCAUGAGCUAGUAUUUCUUCUCUAGUAUAGGAAGCUCUAUUACUAGAUUCUCCUUGUUAAAAAACCGUUGGUUUUGAUUCAUUCAUUUUUAAUUGUUCUAUUCUAUUUUCAAUAUCUCAUAAGUUAAUGAGUACAUCCUCUUCCUCUUCGGAUUUAGAUUCUUCAUUGGAUAUUUCUGGAUUGUAUAAUUCUUUUAAUCCAUUGUCUACAUUUUCACUUAGCAUCCUUAAACUUAUUAAUUUUUUAUCUUAGUUUUUUGUUAAAUAUUGUCUAGAUAUUGCUAUCAUUUCUUUAUCUUUCUUUUCGUUGUAGUAAAUUAUGGUGUCUUGUAAGGUUUUAUUUUUUUUUCUUGAAUUACCAUGAGUAAUUCUUCCAUAUUGUUAUUUAUCUUUUGUAUUUCAAUCCUUUUGUAGUUUUCUAUGAAAAAUUAUUUCUAUACACCUCUCUCCUAAUUCUAAAUAGGAGAAUAGGAUCGAUGUUUAAAUUUCUAUUCUUUAUUAUUUUGAGUUCUCCAAUUCUAAAUUCAUGAGCUCUAGAUAAAUAAAAUUGUUCUAAUUGUUUAUCAUCUAAUAUCUCAAGUUUUGAAUAAUAAUAUUGUUUAUGUUUAGUUAUGUUAUCCUUUAUAGUAUUACUAUCUACCAUUAGAUUAUAUCCCCUAUUAUUAAUAAAAUAAACAAUUGUUUCUUCCAUUUUUAUAUUUUGAACCAAAAAUCUGGUUCUGAUACCGUUUUUGCAGACAAUUUUCAAUCCUAAGAUCCAAGUAAGGAUGUAAAUGAUUAAUCUUUAAAAUCUUAUGAAUAUUUUACAAUUUUGCUUUUUUAAAACACACAGUUUUAUGCUAGGUGUUGUGCAAUCUUUUGUAAAAAUUCAUGAACCAAUACUAUAUUGACUUCUCCUAAAAUGCAUAGGUUUGUUAUGAAAUUCUAAGUGUACAACCCAAAAAGUGGGGUGAAUUGGGUUUUUAAAAAUUUAAGCAAUUAUAACCACACAAAAAUUUCAAUUAAUGUCUUAUUUGAUUCAAUAACAAUAAUUUUAACAAUGAAUAAAGUAAAGAGAUGAGGGAGAAGAGAGCAAACAUGAGAUUUUUACAUGGUUCAGCAAAACCUGCCUACGUUGACGCCUCCAAGCUCACUAUGCUUGAAGAUUUCACUAUCCAAGCAUUACAACCCUAAGGCUUCAAGAUGCUUACAAUUGAUUUCUAAGGUUUCCAUGGACCUUUACAUCCAGAGGUUCUCUCAAACCUCUUAACCAAGUGUUUCUCACACUUACAACCACUUAAUUGUGAUAUUGAAAAAAAGUUACACAAAUUUUCCACUCACACAAUAUAUGUGUUUACAACUAAAAGCCUAGAGUGUGUUUCAAUGAAAGAAUAAAAACAUUUAAGCUCAAGACAGAUUAAACAUGCAAAAGUAAGCUCAAUGCCAAUUUUUGAAUUCGUUAUUGAUUGAAUAUGAUUAAUCCUUUUGAUAGUUGGAGCUGAAAACUAGCCGUUAUUGACUUUCUGCACAAGGUCGGAUCAUCGUUAAUACUUAUCGGACUGCUGUUUUGACUUGAUCAAGUUACCGUUAGGCGAAAAUCUAAAUUUUCGGAUCACCAUUUUCGAGACAUUGAAUUGUUGUUAGUUUCUAGUAACAUUGCGAGAAAAUAGUUGGCUUACCGUUUUCAAAAUGUCAUAUCGUCGUUAGUUUCCAAAUCCAUUCGAUGUCGGUUAGCCAUUUGCUACAUUAACUGCUACAUUGAAACUAUUUUUUAAAAUUAUAUUUUUGCCAUGCUUUCUAUAAUUAUACUGUAGCCCAAAUCUUCAUAAUACUUUACAAAUAGGUCCAUUUUCAGAGUUUCAAAACAUACUUUUUAUUUCCAAAACUUUAUGAAAUUAUACUAUAACCCAAAAAUAUAUAAAAUAUUUCAAAUAGGUUCAUUUCUAGAAUUUUAAAACAAUACUUGUUGAUUUCAAAGUUCUCAAAACUUUUUAAAUUUAGAGCAUUAACUUCAAAAUAACCAAUUUCAUAAAAUCAUUUUUUUCAUUAAGAUUUAUGAAAAAUGACUUGAGCUUUUAAAUGCUUAAGCAUGCAUAUAUUUAAUCAUACUAGCUUUACAAGAAAUGUAACAAGAGAAAUCACCUAAGCUAGUACCUCUAAUGCUUGUUCUUGACUUAGUGAGCUUUUUACCUUCGUCUAUUUGAGUGCCUUGAACUUGAUCACACACACACACACACACACACACACACACACACACACACACAUAUAUAUAUAUAUAUAUAUAUAUAUAUAUAUAUAUAUAUAUAUCAUUUUAUCCUUUUAUCCUUAACACGUGGUUUGUUAUUAUCAAAACCCAAGUUCGUACAACCGCUUAGGCCAACAUGUUACUCCCAAUCAAUUGACUUCUGACAUGACUACUUCCAAAAUGGCUAGUACCAAAAGGGAAUCCUUCUGGGAUGAGAAUUGAAAAACAUGCCUCUUCUAGCACUAAAAUUACUCCUUCCACCUAUAUUUCCACUAUAAUGUCCUUAAAAUCCUCCGGCAUAUCCACCUCUUUUAGUAUUGCCUCCUAUUUGUGCAUGAUAGUAAUUAAUUAUGCCAUAGUUAUUAUGGUUAGCAAAGUUAGCACAAUUUGCAUUGAAUAUGUGUUUUUCAUUAUGACUUUGUUCAAGUCUUGCCUCUUGAGUAAGCAAUAGAGCAUACGCACCAUCAUAAUAUAACUUGCUAGCAGUAAUAAAAGUAGAUAAAUGCAGAUGGCUAGCUCCAAAACUAUUGAGAAUUUGUUAAACAUAUCUUUAUCAGAAAUAGGACUACCAACACAUGUCAAUUUAUCUGCUAUUUAUUUAAUCUUUAAGCAAUACUCUUCUAUGCUUAGUGACUUUUUUUCUCAAAGCAUUCAUCUCAUAUCUCAUUUGAAGAAUCCUACCCUCAUAAUGUUGCCUAAACUUUUUCUGUAAUGUUUUUCAUACAUCAAGUAAGGUGUUAUAAGAAUGAACAAGACCGAGAAUACCUUCAGUGAUAGAGCUGAGUAACUAGCUAAGUAAUGUGUGAUCUUGAGAUCUCCAAACAAUGAACUCAGGAUUUUCAAUCUGUUAAGUAGAUGCAGCAACUGCUCUAGCAUAGCUGAUGAAUCAAUGAAUUGAUUUGGUGCUUCAUUUUCUCUAGUUAUGUAUCCUUCGGUUUCCUCUUAUAAAAGCUAGAACUUGAUUUUGCCACAGCAUGUAAUUUGAUCAAUCGAAUGUGAUUGGAGUGAUGAAACAGAAUGUUGUUUGCAUUGAUUGAUUUGUAGAGAUUGCAAUUGAAUUUGUGCUUACAUUGCUUGAGCUUGCCAUUUUGGCUCAGAUACCAUGAAUAAAUUAUUGGAAGUUGAGUUAUAGUUGCUGUUUAACAGCUGAGAAAAUAGAGGAAAAUUCUCUGGAAAUUCUAAAUGUUUCCUAUUGAGCAAACGAAAGAUUAACAUACUAUAUAUAUACAAGUUUCUAAAUUGUUUCUAGCUAAUUUACAGUACAGCUAAUCAAUAGAUUUGAUCCAAAGUAAAACUAAUUAGUUUCACACAUAAGGAGCACGUGAAUCCAUCAUCGUUGCAUAAUCGAACAUGUUGACUUAGCUGCUGACUUGGCAUUGACAGCUGAUUUGCUUCUUUUUUGUAACUCUGGAUAGUGUGCUUUCUUCACAAGUUUCCCCAAAUCUCCAUUAUGUACAGCUUCUGCAAAAAUUUCCUAACCAAACCAUUUAUUUGUAAUUUCCUCUUGUGUUGGCCCUAUGCCAUCAUCAAGUGGUACCGUGAGAGGAUUUCCAUCUAGAUUACCCUGAUCUUUGUCUGAAUCAUAACUAGUAUGCAUAGUGUUUUCAUCCUCAUCACCCUGCGCAGCCAAAACAAAAUGCUUAACAUUACAUAUACAGUAAAACCUCUCUAUAGUCAUAUUGUUGGGAUUAAACUAAUUUUAUUAAUAUGAAGAUGUUAUAAACUUAAUGGAAAUUCAGUGACAAAUCUAUUGAUUAGCUGUGCUACUUUGAUAAUUAAUUAAUGAAGCAUGUCAAAUCUAAUGCAUUGACAUUGAUAAAAGAGGUAAACAUAUAAUUUAAAAAACUAGUACUUAUAUCUAUCAUCUGUGUAGUAUUGGGAACAUGCAAAGUCUUCUUAUUGAAAAUCUAAAGAAUAAAUUAUUAUCCAAAAUAAUUUCAGAAAAAUAUUAUAUUUCAUCUUAAAUCUUUCAUGUAACAUAGCAAAUUUUUUUUUUUUUUGCUCAAUAUACAUAUUAGUAAUACUGUGUGGAUGCGUGUUCCUUAAGAUAUGCUCUAUAAAAGUUGUUAACUUAUUACAAUGUGAAGUUUGUUCUUAUUUAUAAUUGGCUUAAAGCAGGAAUAAGAUUUUUUGUGACUAUUGGACGUUGUUCUUAUAAAAUGUAUCACUACAGAGAGAUUUUAUUAUAAUUCUAAACCGAGAAAAGAAAGUGUAAUCCUAAUAAAUCACCAUCGAUUAGAGCUAUAAUGAAUUAAGCUUUACAAAGAAGAAGAAGAAAGAUUACAAUGUGAAGGCAACAAGAAUCAUGACAAAGUGAGAAAAAGAGAGGCCACAUAAGCCCCAAGGGAAAUUGAGAUUUUAUAACACAGCCUAAUUGCAGAAAGCAUAGGCGAAAAACAGGUGCUUGAUUGCAAACAUGCACACGCGCGCGCGCACACACAAUUUGACCACAAAGACCGCAUACCUUUGAGAGUUGGUCCUCUGGGGCAUAGGCAUUUUUCGCACGUUUUCGUGCUUCCUCCUUUUAUGGCCACGUAGUUUUCGUAAGCUUGAUCAAGAAACUCCUCCAAUUGUUCAUCAUACCUAACACCAAAAAAAUGUCAUAAGAUCACAAAGGCAUAAGUUGAUAGAUAUAUUUGUCAAGAUAAUGCGACAGAAGAUAUAGGUAGAAAAGAAUUACUUUCUGCAUUCUUUAUCAGAGUCACUGUCACUGGACAAUUGCUCUUGAGUGUCUCUAUCGGGUCUCUCAUCUUCACAGCCCUCUGCAGUAGCAUUCUCAUCAUCAUCAUCAUAUUCAACAGCAGCAAGAUCUUUUUUACCCUAAACCGAUCAUUCAAGUUUAUAAAAGAAUGAGAUACUUGCCUUAGACCACACUUUUGAAUUGGAAAAAACUAAUAAAUCAAAAUUGCAACUAAUAUUGUCCUACCCAGCCAUUUUUCAUUUAUCCUGAUGUCAAGUACACUACAAUCGAUGAGUACCUCAGUCAGUUUGCGUAACCCUUCUCUGUUGAGUUGUAGCUUGCAGGAUAUUGGGAAAUAAAUAAUUGGCUUGUUGCCAUCUUUGGUUUGUAUCUGUAAACAUUAUGGUUGUUGGCCUUACCUUCUUUUGGUUUUCUAUGGAAUUUGUAGCACCAUAUUUUGUCCACUAUGUCAGUACACCAGUGAUUAAACAAAGUAGUCUCAUGUGCUUGAUCUAAAAAUAAUUAUAAAGUCACCAUGUGGUUGAUCUAAAGAUAAUUAUAAAGUCACAAACACAGAAAAAUUAAAAGUAAUUCAUAAACAUUUGUCAUGUGAAAUUUACUUAAUGGAAGAGAAAUUCUAGGAAACAACUUUAUGGUGAGAAAACUCUAAAAAUCAAACCGAAAGAUAUAUAAUAAAUAAUUUUAUAAGAAUUAGGCUAUGUUUCAAAUAAUAUCACAUAUAGUAAAUUUAUGAGUUGUCGCUCAUCAUAACUCAAUUGUUUCACAUAUUGUAAUUCUUUAAUUUUGAAUAACAACAUAUGUUUCAUAAGAUUUAAAAUGGUAUGACUCAUUUUAUAAUAUUUUUAACUGAAUUGAAAUUCUGCAACUAUAAAAAUUGAAAAGAAUGAACUUGGCGGUAUUACGCUUAUAGUAUUGUUUCUUAUGGUGAACCAAAAGCAAGCCAAAAUUACGCUUACAUCAUCUUACUCUACCGUAAAACUUAUUUAUAAUCAUAACGGUAACACUAAAUUAAUUUUAUUACUGUGAGAGUUUAAUAUUUAAUAGAGGUGUAGUUACAAAAAUUAUUAUUUUAACUUAAUUAUUUUUUGUGCAAGUGAUAUAGCGAUAAAAUAUGCACUAUAUUAAUAACUAAUUAAUACAGCAUGUCAAAUUCAAUGUACUAACAAUGAUGAAAAAGAUAGGCAUAGUUUGAAAAAAACUAGUACAUAUAUCUUUAUAGUGCUGGAAUUAUGUAAAAUCAUCUUGAAAGUCUAAAGAAUAAAUGAUUGUACAAAAUAAUUUUAGAAAAAUAUUUUACUUCAUCUUAAACCUUUAACAUAAUAAGGGAUAUAUUUUUUACAAUAUACCGAUAAUUAUUACUAUUAGAGGUAACUUUCUUAAAACCGGAUUUAAAAAAAUUAUAAUUUAUCAUAAUAUAGAGUUUAUUCUUAUUUAUAAUUAUUAGGCUUGAUAAUCGACUGGGUCGUGUUUGGGCCAUGCCAAGCUCUAGCCCAACUAGGGGUGGCAAAACGAAUAAACGAAUCGAAUUUGAAUCGAAUCGUAAACGAAUUGGGUCAAAAUUAUAUGGAUUCGGAUUCGAUUCGUUUAUUAAACGAAUUGAAAUUUCAGGAUUCAGAUUCGAUUCGGUUAUUAAACAAAUAUUCGGUUCAAUUCGUUUAAUUCGUUUAAUAGAAUUGAUAAACGAAUCGAAUCGAAUCCGGAUUCGUUUAUUAUUCGCUUAUCCUUUACGAAUCCAUAACGAAUCGAAUCGAAUCAGGAUUCGUUUACAAUUCAUUUAGAAAAAUAUAAUUAAUAAACAAAAUUAAGCAAAAAAAACACAAAUUUAAUAUCCCACAACAAAAUACAAAUAAUUCAAAUCAUAUUAUACAGUCAUCCAAAUACUAAAUUACAAAUCCUUAAUAUUACAAAUAACAAUAAUUCAAAUUCAAAUUAUAAAGAAAUGUAAUUUCUUUAAUUCUCUUCAUUUGUCUUUGUCGCCUUGAAAACAAAAAUCCUACACCAAAAAGUAAAUAAAAUGUUAUUAACAUGCUGCAAUAUUGAUAAUAGUCAUUGUAAAAUUUCAAAAAUCAAAUAUAUAGCAAAUUUGUAGCAUUUUCAAGAAAAUAAUAAUUAAACAAGAUAAAAACUUUACCUACCACACUCACACACUGUCAUUUGGAUCAUUGGCACUCUCUGCAGAUGGAGCACAAUUAGUGCUCAUGUUCAUAAUGUUUUGAGUAAGUUGGUCCACAGUGACAUCCAAAUUUUCUACAAUAAUUUUAUAAAAAUAAAUCUUAAUUAGAAACAAUUGCACAUAAUAUUAUAAAAGAAAAGUAAAUAAAUUUUAUGAGCAAGUUUUACCAAUCUCUCCAAACUUCCAAUCUCUAGUAGUAAUAAUUGCUUGAACUAUCUCUAGUAGUAAUAAUUACUUGAACUGUCUCUGGCUUCAAUACACUUCAAAAUUGAUCAAGAACUCAACCGCCAAACAACAACAAAACAACAGUAAAACAGCAACAAAAUAGCAGCAAAAUAGUAGUAAAACAACAACAAAAUAUCAGUAAAAUAGCAGUAAAACAACAACAAAAUAGUGGAAAAAUAACAAAAAAAAUGGUAGCGAAACAGCAGCCAAACAACAGCAGUAAAACAGCAGCGAAACAGCAGUAAAACGACAGUAAAAUAGCAGUAAAUCAGCAACAAAACAACAGCAAAACAGUAAUAAAACAGCAACAAAACAGCAACAAAACAACAGCAAAACGGUAAUAAAACAGCAAUAAAAGGCAAAUUUUCAGUGGUGUACCGUGAUGGUGGGUAGUUAGCGCGGCGGGAAGUGGUGCUGGGGAUGAAAACCUUCAAAUUUUAAAAAGCUUUCAAAUAAAUUUAAGGAUAAAAAAGUAAUUUAAUUAAACGAAUAAUAAACUAAUCGACCCGUAUUCGAUUGGUUUAUGACCGAUUUAUUAAACGAAUAAACGAAUCAAAAUUUUCAAACCUGCAUUCGAUUCGUUUAAUUAACGAAUCGAAUCGAAUUCACCCAUUUAUUAAACGAAUCAAUUUUUUCAAACUCAAACCCAUUUAAUUUGCAUCGAAUCGAAUCAAAUAAACGAAUCCUGACCCAUAUUGCCACCCCUGCCCAACCCUAUGAUUAAAAUGAAGGACUCUAAUACUAAAAAGCUUGACCCUUCAAACUAAAGAACAACCUGGCUUUAAUAAUUUUUUUAUAUUUUAUUUUUUUUUUUAAGAAUAUGACUCCUAUUCUUCAUUCUUUAGUAAUAUUAUUAUUAUUAUUAUUGUUCCUUUUUUUUGUUGGAUUUGUUUGUAAGGAAUUUAAUAAAUUAUUUUUUAUUUAACUUAACAACAAUAGAACGUUUAACAAUCUAACAAAAUUAAUAUAUUAACCAAGCAAUAGGUAAAUAAAUCAAAUACAAAAUAACAAAAUUAAUAUGAAAUAGAGAUAAAUAUCCCUAAAGUGUAGUUGUGACCAUCUAUGUGUAUGUGUGUUUAAUAAUAUUUUUAUUUUAAAAAUUAAUUUAAAGAUCAAGAGUUGAGUUAAAACAUUUUGGUAAAACUUUAACCCUAACCCAAAUGUAAUUAGGUCCUGAUUCCUUAAGCCCUAACCCAACGUUUAACCUUUCAAAUUCGAGUCAAAACCAUUAAAAUUAAGAUCGAAUCAAUCAAGUCGAGGGUCGGAUAAAACCUUUUUGUCAUCCUAAAAAUUACCCUAAAUUAAAAUCAAAAUUUUUUAAAAUUAUAUAAAAAUUAUUCUUAUACACAGUAACAAUAUACGACCCAACAAGAAAUGAACCUGGACGCAUUAGGGCUUUGAUCCACAAACAAACUUUCAAAACCCUCUUAGACCUCAAGAGCAUUUUAGUCCAUUUAAUCAAAAGUAAAAGUGCGGCUACCAGCUAACUCUCCGGAAUUGAACUGAACGAGUUUCAGAAAUGGCAUCGAAAAGCAAGAUUCUAUCCAUCGGCGGGACAGGGUAUAUCGGUAAAUUCAUCGUGGAAGCUAGCGUGAAAGCCGGCCACCCGACGUUCGUGCUCGUGAGGGAAUCCACAGUCUCUGGUCCUUCCAAAUCUCAGCUCCUCGACCACUUCAAAAACCUCGGCGUCAAUUUCCUUGUCGUGAGUUAUCAAUUUUUUUUUUCAUUUUUUUAAUUCCAAAUUUUGACACGUGGCGGUGUAGCCUCUACUUGAUAGACUUGGUUUUUUUUUUUAAUUUAAUUUUUGUGGGUGCUGUUAUUAUUAUGCAGGGAGAUGUUUUGAAUCACGAGAGUUUGGUGAAGGCGAUAAAACAAGUGGACGUGGUGAUAUCAACAGUUGGUCACACUUUAAUAGCCGAUCAGGUCAAGAUUAUUGCUGCCAUUAAAGAAGCCGGUAACGUUAAGGUAUGACAUAAUUAAUGUAAAUGUCUUAGAUUCCGAUCAGGAUUGUGCACUCGUGCACACGUGGUGAUUUAUUCUUCGUGUGGAGCUCGCUGUAGAGUAGAGCUCCCAGUUCCGCUAAUAAACACCCGUCACAUGCGCAAUUGCGCCUCAAAAUAAUUUAAUUAAUUAAUUAGGUAUAAACACCGAUGGCAUGAAAGCAAUUAAAAUUAGUUGAUGUUUAUAAAUUAUUUAUUACUCAGAGAUUCUUCCCAUCGGAAUUUGGAAAUGAUGUUGAUCGAGUCCAUGGCGCCGUGGAGCCAACAAAAUCGACGUAUGACGUAAAGGCGAACAUCCGCCGAGCCGUUGAGGCAGAAGGCAUUCCGUACACGUACGUAGAAUCUUAUUUUUUUGAUGGCUACUUCCUCCCUAAUUUGUUGCAGCCUGGGGCCACUGCCCCCCCUAGGGAUAAGGUUGUCAUCUUCGGCGAUGGAAAUCCAAAAGGUAACAUAAUUUAAUUAAGCUCUGUUUGUUUGGUAUGUAUUUCGGUGUUAAUGUUAUUGUCUGUUGUACAAUGGAUGGUCUUGCUUGGUACUGUUGUUGGAGAGCUGCAGUGUUUUGAUAAACACCUCUAUCCUUAGCUUUCAAGUUAAGUUGAUUUUAUACAACACUUGUUUAAUUAAAAACUUGUAAUAUUCUUACUACUUUGAUAAAAAAAAUAUUACGAUUAAAGUAUUAAUGGCACCAUAAUACGAAGUGAAUCUUAAGUGGUCAUUAUAGAUUUUAAGAUAGAGUUUUAAGUGAUUACCAGAUACUUUAGCUGCUGAACCGCCACAUCAUGGUUGCCACACAACAAUUUCAAACAGAGCCUAAAUAACUUCAUUGCAAAACAGUUAAAUGAAUCUAACUUAGUUUCGUCGUUUGAUUUUCAGCUGUUUUUAACAAGGAAGAUGAUAUUGGAACCUACACUAUCAAAGCGGUUGAUGAUCCGAGAACCUUGAACAAAAACUUUUACAUUCAGCCUCCCGGUAAUAUUUACUCAUUCAAUGAUCUUGUGUCUCUGUGGGAGAGAAAGAUUGGUAAAACCCUCGAAAAGGAGUAUGUUUCAGAGGAGCAGCUCCUAAAGAAUAUUCAAGGUUGGUUAAAACUCUCUUUUUUAAAUGUAUUAAAGAGAGCCGUAUAUUCUCUGCCGUAAAUGUUAUUGAUCCUGUCUUCUCCAAAAUGUUGCAGAAGCUGCAUCUCCACACAAUUUUAUAUUAUCAAUUUAUCACUCUGCUUUCGUGAAGGGAGUUCAAACUAACUUCAAGAUUGAACCAUCUUUUGGAGUUGAAGCCUCGCAGCUUUAUCCUGAUGUCAAGUACACUACAGUUGAUGAGUACCUCAAUCAGUUUGUGUAACCCUUCUCUGUUUCCAGCUGCAGCUUGCAGGAUCUUGGACUGUUGGUAAAUAAAUAAUUGGCUUGUUGCCAUCUUUGGUUUUAUAUGUAAAAAUUAUGGUUGUUGGCCUUACUUUCUUCUGGUUGUCCAUGGAAUUUGUUAGACCAUAUUAUGUUUGCUAUGUCAGUGAUCAAAUGAAGUAGGCCAUGUACUUGAUUUGAGAGUAGUAGUUAUAAAGCCAUCAUGAUCAGGUGGGUGCGUAGGUUGGGCUUCUAUUAGGGUGCGUGUGUUGGGCUUCAGGGGCUUGUGAUAUGGGUUCGACAGCCCCUAACGGGCAGUCAUUAUAAAAAUAAUUAUAGAGUUACAAAUCUAUGUAAAAAGCAAAAAUUAAAAGUAAUUUAUCAAUAAAAAUAAUUAAAAUUAAUAAAAAGUAGGUAUGAUAAUUCAGAAAUUAAAUUAAAGAUAGAAUUCUAAAGAGUUGGAUAAUCCUCCAACUAAACUAAAGAUCUAGUACUUUUGAGAGCAAAUUUAAUUAAAGAAAAGGAUAAGGAAAAACAAUAGAAUAAUAAUAUUAAAAAAUUGCAAAUCUUGGUCUUUUUUUUUUACGAUGAUGUUGAAUUCUUAUAAAUUUAAUCUUAUCUAUAGAAUUAUUUAGUUACUGUAUGUCAAAAUUUCCUAUAAAGAUGAAGAAAAAUUAUAUUAGGAGAAGAUCCAAAUCCGUUUAACUGAUGCAUCAUCGACAACAUGAGUACAACAUUUUCGAAUAAACAAAAGAAACUCGUUUUAUGUGUGAACCAGUUCCAAAAUAAAGAGCAGACUAUUGGAAGGAGACAAAUACUACAAGAAGAACAAAACAUUCUACAAUUCCUACAUGAGCCCGCAACAAUUAAUUAUUAACUCGACAUUCAUUACACUUUUUCUUUAAUUUGACAAAGAAACCAAAAAUAAGAUAAAAUUGACUAAGAAAUAAAAAAAUGACAAAAAUCUUUUUGAAGUUUUGCCAGUUCAGCCAUGCACGCUUAUCUUUAUUCACUUGUUUCCUUUCUUUCCUUUCUUUCCUUUCUUUCCUUUCUUUGCUGAAGCCUUCACAGAUCCUUUACCUUUCUGAGCCUUGCCAAUUUUCCCCUUCUUCAAACCACCUGGCCUUGCUGGAUCCACGUGUCCUUGCAUCCUUUUUCAUUCGUGGAUCAACAAGAAUCUCCCCCUUUCCAGCUCUCUCUUGAACUCCUUGCUUUGCGACCAUGUAUUCUUUGGUAGGCCUUUUGGGUAUAGUUGUCUUGUAUAAUUGUUCAAUUUGAUUCCUCUUCGAACGAUCAGAGAUGUCCGCUUAGUCUGAUAUGACAUUUGCCUUCUUGCGAACCUUCUCAAGAUUUCGCAUGGCAACCCGUAUCUUUCGAGCUUUGGUCUUAGCCACCUUCUUGGCAGUAUGGGUGGGCGAUUCGAUUUUGGGAUAAACUUUUGGUUUCGUAUCGGUUUAGAUUAAAAAAUAAUAUAAAAAAAUAUUUAGAUUUUAAGGGAAAAAAUCCGAACCGAGACUCACCUAUCGAUUUUGGCUCGGUUUCAGUUCAGUUUUGAUUCUCCUAAUAGUUUUAUUUUGCCUUAUUGACUUCCGGUCAAUGACACUUUUGAAAAAUUUACAAAAAAAAAAAAAAUGGCCAUAACAAAAUUUCUAAAUGCAAAUAUUUCCUAAACAUUAGGCUAUACUAAAUUUUUUUAAAAGGUAGGGAUCCAAACGAUAUUAUCCCUCUACUUCAUCUUCAACCUUCGUCACUAGGGAUGGCAAAAUUCAGGUUCGGGUUCGGGUCCGGGUUUAGCCAUUCGGGAUCCGGACCCGGAUGAAUAUUUUCUGUAUCGGACCCGAAAAUAAACCCGCAUUUUUCCACUCCGAGUCUGGUACGGGUUCAACCCGAAAAAAUUCGGGUUCCCAGACUGCGGGUUUCCAACCCGAAUUGAUGAAUCCAAUUGAAAAAAAAAAACUAAAUUCAACUAAAAAAAUCAAAUAGAAAUACAUAUCCAGGAUUUUAGCAAAUCAAAGAAAAAUUAUUUCAUCUGGAAACUAAUUAACAAAAACAACAAUUUUGUUUGGCUGCCCAGAAUCAGCAACCCAAUGUGGCGGCUCGUUCAAAACAUUAGUGUUUUCAACAGAUUUUGGGGUAGGAAAAGCCAAACCUAUCUAGAACAAUGAAUUUGUAUUUUUGGGGGAGAUGAGAUACCUCACUGGUUUGUUGUGUGCGGUGCAGUGUAUCUGAAAUUUGGGGGAUGUGAGAAGGGGAGAGGGAGUGGUAACAAUGGUGAAAGGUCAAAACCAAUAGAGAUGUCCUUCAAAAUGAGCUUCACACCUGUAAAACAGUGAAAUAAAGGUUAGAGGUGAAGCCGGGAUACCCCGGUGUUCACACUCCGAUGCUCAAGUUAGCAAACUCAAGCUUUUAUGACAAAGAGAACUGGCUAGCCCUCUGUAAAUUAGGGUUUAAGGUUCAAGGAAACCUAUUUUUUGGAAUGUGAGUGUUAAUGGUGAGUGAGAGACCUCUUCGAGAAUGAAACAUAGGCGCCUUUAUAUAUGGAGUACCUCAGCUGCCACAUGACGUACCCUUUUUUGGCUAACGUCAUUUUUCCUUUUUAUGAUUUUUGGGUCGUUAUGUGCAUGUUCGCGGGGUAUCUCAUCUUUUGGAAACGUGGCGCGCGCUGGAGAGUGGUCCAGGGUACCUCUGCAGUAGCUGUCGGGUAGGCAGCUGAAGACCACUGUCCUUGGGACAAUGUCCUUCACUUUUGGUAAAGGUGACAGGCGGUUGUCCCCCUUUUUAACACGACAUUUUUUAUUCCUAAUUAUGACAAAAUCGAAUAAUAUCUUUUAAGAGAUGGAGACGUUUCUCAUGGUGGAUAUUUUCAGAGGAUUCUCUUGCAUCUGAUCAGCCGGGUUCCUCCAGUUAUGCAGGGUACCUCUAAUUUUACGGGGUACCUCUAUUUGCGCAGGGUACCUUGAAUCAUGCUAGGUACCUUAGAUUAUGCGGGGUACCUCAUAUUGUGUGGGGUACCUCUAAUUGUGCGGGAUACCUCUAUUUGCGCUAGGUACCUUGAAUCAUGCUGGGUACCUCAGAUUGUGCGGGGUACCUCUAUUUGUGCAGGGUACCUUGAAUCAUGCUGGGCACCUCAGAUUGUGCGGGGUACCUUUAGUCAUGCGAGGUACUUUUAAUCAGGCCAGGUACCCUCUAAUUGUGCUGAGUACCUCUAAUCAUGCAGGGUACCUCUAAUCAUGCGGGGUACCUCUAAUCAGGCCGGGUACCUCAGAUUGUGCGGGGUACCUCUAUUUGCGCAGGGUACCUUGAAUCAUGCCGGGUAUCUCAGAUUGUGCGGGGUACCUCAAAUUGUGUGGGGUACCUCUAAUCGUGCGGGGUACCUCUAAUCAUGUCGGGUACCUCGGAUUGCACUGAAAUUAUUCCAUUCGUUGACACGUGGCGUUAUGCUAUCUUUCUUAUUUUUCCCCCAAACAACAUCCCUCUAGUUUCUUUUGGCAAGAAGUUUUGGAGGCAAAAGAAACUUACAUAAAAAGUAGGAGCGACACGUGGCGAUAUGAUGUUUAGCUCGAUGGAUAACUAAAUAGAGGGCGCCUCUAGGGGUACCCUGAGAACCCAAAAAGGGAAGAUGGGCUCCAUUUCCUCGGAAAUGGCUACCACUUUGGACAUGUUGGAAAUGAUAGAGCUAAUUGAUCAAAAAAAUUUCAUCUAUUUCUGGGGAAGAACACCAAAUACGGGUAGAGGGUAUCGUUAGGGUACCCCACCAUUAUCCAUAGUUUGUUUUCUAGUGACUGCCAUGUAUAAAUCGCUCUGGUGAAGGCUUCAAUACAUUCUUUGGGCAUUUAAGAAGCAAUUAUUUGAUUAUCUCGGGAUCCACCUUAUUUAAGGGUAUAUUUCCUUCAUGUGCUUCGAAGAAAAAAAUAAAAUCACAGGGCCUUCUUCCUUGUAACUUCAGAGGUACCAUCGACAGAAGAACAUAGUCGACAAUGCUUUUAAGCGUAUCAUGAUCGAGGAAUGGAGUGCUGAUCUGGGGUUGGUGGUGCCAAGAGUGGAGAAGAUGGUAGAUGAACCGGCUAUCUUGAAGGCGAUUAAUGAUAGCGGGGCUCCCAACACAUCUUGGUCUGAAAGCCCAUUGAGAUCAGCUGAGGUACCUCAGAUGAGGUAUCUAUAAGGUACCCCUGAUACUAACCCUUGUGUUUUUGCUACUUUUAGCACUUUAUUGAUCCCUUCAUCCUAAGGGAUGAAGUUGAAGAUAAAUAUCCUGUUGUAUAACCUUGUUCGACAUUACUGACAAGAUGUAUGGGGUACCUUGUUAGCCUAUAUGGCUAUAAAUAUUGAUUUUGAUGAUAACAAACCACAUGUAUUUAUUGAGUAAAGAUUUAUGAAUUGUGCUUUUAUAAUGAGAAAAUGAUGUUAUGGAAUUAAAUCUUUUUGAACUAAAAUGAAAGUAAUUUUAAAAUCUUUGAUAGUAUUUUAAAUUUCGGAUUUGUACAUAUUUGAAACUAUUUAAAUGUUUUUAGGUCAUUUUGUAAUUUCACAAAGUUUGGGCGAAGUCAUAAUUUCAUAAAGUUGUGGGAUUGAGAAAGCAUUAUCUAAAAUUAUGAAAUUGGACAUAUUUGCAAACGUUUAUAACGUUUUGGGCCAUACCACAGUUUUAUAAAGUUUUAGGGUCAAAUUGAAAAUAUUAGAAAAUUUUCACUGUAGCAGGUUACUGUAGCAAGCAGCUUACCGGAUUCAGAAAAUCAGAAAUCCGGAUUCGAGGCAGUAAGCAUCCAGAACCAAAACGGCUUACCGGAUUCCUGAAUCCGGCAAACCGGUUAGGCAAAAUUUUGAAUUUUGCCUUAACGGUAACAUAAAUCCGGCUUACCGAAUUCUAUAAAAUGGCAAACUGGAUAGCCUAGAAUGUGAGUAACGGCUAGUUUUCGAGCUCAAGCUAUAAGAACUCAAAUCCAACUCAUUUUGAAGCUCUCCAACAAGCAAGAACAAAAAGCACACGUGAUAUCUUGAGCCUUCAACUUGUAAAACACAAUUCAUUGAAUCAUUCAUUGUUCUUCAUCUUUGAAUAUCUACUCAUUGAGUGAGUUUCAUUGUAUCUUUCAUUUCUUCAAUUCAUUUGUAAGAGUUUGAGUGUGUGAGACACUUGAGUGAAGAGAUUGGGAGAUAAUCUCUUUGUUGUAAAGGUUUAUUGACACCUCGAAGUCAAUUGUAAUCGUUGAAGCCUUGGAAAGGCUUGGAUAGUGAAAUCCUCGAGCUUGGAUCGCUUGGAGGCGUGGACGUAGGCGGGGAUUACCGAACCACGUAAAAAUUCGUGUGUUUGUUUCUCUUCUCCCUUACUCUUUAAUUAUUGUACCAUUAUUGAACUUAUUACUUUCAAUUAUUGUUAAGACAUUAGAUUGCUUGUUGUGUGGAUUUGUUAGGAUAAUUUUUAAAAAUCCAAUUCACCCCCCUCUUGGGUUGCACACUUGUAUUUCAUACCUCAUGUACCCUAAUGCUUGGAUAUCCCUUGAGCUAUCUGUUACUUCAUGGCGGAAUAACCCAAUUGCAUCAAACAUAUGGCGAUUCUUCCAGAUAUGCUUGUCGCUUAUCUUAAGCUUUCUUAGGGUUCCUCCUGGUGUAUCUGAGGAAUAGCUUUCUGGCGUGGGGUACCCUUAAUCAGCGUAUGGUGAUUUUCAUAGAAAUGCUUGCCGCAAAUCUUCACAAAACUUGUUGCGGUUGCUUUUGAGAGAUUGUGCGGGGUACCUUGAAUCAUGCCGGGUAUCUCAGAUUGUGCGGGGUACCUCAAAUUGUAUGGGGUACCUCUAAUCGUGCGGGGUACCUCUAAUCAUGUCGGGUACCUCGGAUUGCAGUGAAGUUAUUCCAUUCGUUGACACGUGGCGUUCUGCUAUCUUUCCUAUUUUCCCCCAAACAAUUAGUAAAGAGAGCUAAAGAACUAGCUUUAGUUACGAGCAGAAAAUCAGAAGUCAAGGAGCAGCCAAAGCACUUUUAAUGGUGAUGGUAAAACUAGAGAGGUAAUGCAAAUAAGUUUACGUUGAUUGGAUAUUCAGAAGAAGUAAUACGCCAUUAAAAGCAACAAGUUUUCCAAAAAGCCAACAAAGACAGAGACCACCACACCACCCCGCACUGGAUGAAAAACGAUGAAAGCAUGAUAAGUGGCAUCGAGUAAGCCACGUUCUCUCUCUCUCUCUCUCUCACUCGCACUCGCACUCGCACUCGCACACACUGUUACUAAAAUGACCAAAAAUAAGAUUCCCAUCAAAAUAUUUUCGAGUAUCGUUCUUGAAAGUGGCGGCGGCUGAUGAUGAUGAACACAGCCGCGAUUGCGAUUGGCGAAGGCGGCGUUCUGCCCGUAUCACAGCUAGUUAUCGGUCGCGGCAGAAAAGAUAAUGAAACGACGGCUGAUGAUGAUGAUGAUGAUGUUGAACAGCCGCGAAUAUGGGUAAGUGAUGCGACGAUGAUUUGAUUUGAUGAAGAUGAGCUGAACAUGGAAUAAGAGAGGAAAUGUUUGUGCGGCUGGGAAAGUGUAAUGAACUGCUAGGGCACCAUUUGGGUUUUUUUGCUUUCCUAUUUAUAUUAAAAAUAAUUUUUAAAAAUUAAUAUAUAUCCGGGUUCGGGUUUUGGAUGUACGGGUUUACCUAGACCCGGACACAUGCGGAUUCAGCAGCACCGACCACCCACAGACUUGGAUUUGAUUACAAAGUUGGGACUUAGGAUUUGGGUUUGUGGCUGCCGAAACAGAAAGUGAGAGAGUAGAAAGUAGAGACUGAGAGUGGUGCAAACAUGUGUAAUUUUGUGUGUGUGUCUAUAUAUAUAUAAUGUGAAAUUACAAAAAUGCCAUUAUAUCAGUUCAAUUCGAAUUUUGUAACUUGUGAUCCGAAAACUGAACCAAACCGAACCAUUUGGUUUGGUAUUUAUAUAUUCAGGUUUUUAAUUUAAAAAAACUAAAUUGAAAUUGAAAGAACUAAACCGAACCGAAUUUUUUUUUUUUUUGUUUCGAUUCAAUUAUGCCCAUCCCUACUUAGUAGGCUGGGUAUCAAUUUCUUUGAAUUGUGCUUUCAUUGCAGUAAUCUCCUCCUUGGUAAUAGGUUUAAUUGCUUGCUGAUGCCACCUUUCCUCUAGUAACAACUAGUCUAACAAGCCAUCAUCGUCAAACAUGUACCUAUUAUAAGCAUCAUCCAGAAUUUGCUCUCUUUGCUUUUUGCUUAGUGUCUUCUUUGCACAAGCUAUUAUCUUAGCUUUUGUAUCAAUAUCUUUAUCUUUUGAUUCACCAGAGGAUGAAUCAUCACCGGAAUAGAGUGGUGAAGGCCCCAUAGAUUAGUGUGAUCAAGUUCUAGUGUAGUUUUGGUUUUGAUUUCAGUAUUAGGAAAAUGAAGCCUAUGAAAUUUACCAAGCUAACAUGCUUCACAAAAGUGCUUUAAUACUUGACUAUGAAUACUUGAAGAGGAUAAAUGAGGAUAAAUAAAUUUAAAUAUACAUUAGAUUUUGAGGGUUGGGAUGUCAAAACUUUUGGUGAAAAAGAGUUAGUACAAGCAUUUUUAUUGAGAUUGAAAACAUUUCUUAAGAUGAUCAAUACUAGUUACAAAAUUGGAAUGAAAAAAAAAAGGCAACAUAGACAAAGGUUUGUUUAUUUGAUUGUAAGAUAGAAAAGACUUGUAUUUAGGUUGUGGAAAGGAUUUGAGCAGCAAUUUAUACAACCUUUUCUCAGCAAAACCUUCCUCUUCAAUGAAUCCUUCACAAAACAAAUAGAUCCAAGAAAUUCGACAAAUAAAUUGUUGUCAAUGGUAAGUUUUGAAAUGCUCAAUAGAUUCUUUGUAAUGGAUGGAACAAACAGUACAUCCUUAAGUAAAAUAUGUCUUAUAUUAUCUUUUUUUAAUUCUUUUUAAAAAAAUAAGUGAAUAAUAGUAUGUCAAUCUCAAAUAUCAAUAUGUACAAUUUUUAUUUGUGUAAGAAUUUGCAUCCAAUAAUCAUCAAUACAUAAUUGUCUUUUAAUUGAAUGGUUCUCACCUCCCUUCCAAACUUUGAAAAGGUAAAAUAAGAUCAAUCAUGUCAGUGGCAAUUAAUAUAAAGAUUACUUUUCUUAUUUGUAGUAACGUCCUCUGAUUAUUUAGCUGAUUUUCAAGCUACACAUUUAUUCCAUUUGAUGUUGAUAUUAGUAAAAUUAAUGUAAUAUUUAAAAAGGAAAAAAAUCCGUCGAGCUAAAAGCCGAGUAUAAAAUUGAACCAGACCCAAACCAGAAACGCACGCCAACAACAUGUUUGCGUCAGUCGGCCCAUGCCCAUAAACCCACCAAGCCCGAUCCAAAUAGAAAAAUGAAUUGGACACCCGAGAUAGCAGAAACAGAUAAGUAACGGUCGUGCUAUCCCCAAUCUCAUAUCUUCAACGGUAUCCAGCCAACAUCUCAAAGUGUUCAAUUUUUUUUUAAGCCAAAAAAAAAUUCAAAAUUUUCAAGCGGAAUCUGGGAAGAUAGCGAUGAAAAGCAAGAUUCUGGUUAUCGGCGGAACCGGAUACAUCGGUAAGUACUUAAGGUGCGUUUGAAAUUGAGGUUGAGCAACUAUAACUUUAAAACUGCAGCACUAAAAUAUUUGGUAAACACUAAUUGUUGUAACUUAAAAGCUAUUUAAUAUAAUUUUUCACUUGUAUAAUAAAAAAUUUAUUAUCUUUAAUAAUUUUGUCAAAAUUAUUAUUUAAAAUAUAUACAGUAAGAGAGAUUGUAACAUUUUCAAUCUUUGGUUUGAUAUUCUGGAAGAAAACGAUUUGCCGUUUAUGGAGAAAACUGCUAACCGUUUAAUUUCAGAGAGCAUGUUUUCUAUUCUAGAGAAAACGGCUAACCGUUUGGAGAAAACGGCUAACCGUUUGGAGAAAAUGGCUAACCGUUUGGAGAAAACGGCUAACCGUUUAAUUCCAGAGAGCAUGUUUUCUGUUCUAGAGAAAAUGACUAACCGUUUGGAUAAAACGGCCAACCAUUAAUUACAGAGAGCAACUUAUUUGACAUUCUGGAAUAAAACGGCUCACCGUUAUUGAGAAAACGGCUAACCGUUUAUUUCCAGAGAGCGUGUUUUUGCGUCAACUGGAAAAACGGUUAGCAAGCUUAGAAAUUUCAAUUGUCAAUCGAUGCAAACUCAAACCAAAAGAGUGUUUUUUUGAAGAAGUACUAUUUUUAAUGGUUGUAUUCUUUCAAAUAAACAUCUUCUUUAUUAAAGAUAGACAAACUAUUAUAUCAUAAUUAGAUUUUGCAGGUUUCAUAUAUGUUCUGGAAAUACAAUCUUAUUUUUUAGAGAUUGUAUUCAGGAUUUGAUAUAUCUUAGGGGUAAUUUGCCAUUAAAACUCUAUAGCAAACCAAGAUUGGUGAGGGUAAAUAAAACCUUAAAGAAAAAUGUGCAAACACGUCUCAAAUCCUAAGAAAUUUUCUUUGUUCUUUGCCUCCAUAUUCUUAAAAUUUGAAAAUUCACCCAUCAAUCUUUAAGGUUUUAUUUUGAUGCAAAUAGAGGCUGAGAAGAGUUUGACGUCAUUUCUUAAUCCUAGUGUCCAUCUCGAUCGUUUUGAUGGAACAAAUUUCACUCGUUGGAAGGAAAAAUUGUUCUUUCUUCUUACUGUUCUUAAAGUGGCAUAUGUUCUUAAUCCGAAAUUGGAACCAUUUCCAGAACCAAGGGAAGAUGAUACCGAAGUUGUUAAGGCUGUAAGGAAACGUCGUGAAGAUGAUGAAUUGAUGUGCCGGGGUCACAUACUCAAUACGCGUUCUGACAGGUUAUAUGAUCUCUACAAUUUUAUGACUUCUUCGAUGGAAAUUUGGAAUGCUCUUGAGUACAAAUACAAAACGGAGAAAGAAGGUACUGACAAAUUCCUUGUCUCUAAAUAUUUUGAAUUUAUUAUGGUAGACACACAAUCCAUUCUUGAUCAAAUACAUGAGUUAUAAAUUAUUGUUGCUAAGCUUCGAGAGUUAAAAGUUAAAAUUUCUGAAUCAUUUCAAGUUGGGACUAUUAUUGCUAAAUUGCCUCAAAGUUGGAAUGAUUAUAGAAAGAAACUCCUUCAUAGUAAAGAGAACAUAACUUUAGAAGAAUUGCAAAAACACUUGGUAAUUGAAGAAGAGACUAGGUCUCGCGAAUCCAAGGAUAAACAUGAUUCUACUAAAGUUAAUGUUCUUGAAGCUAGUAAAUUCUCAAAGAAUUUUAAAGUCAAGAAUGACAAGAAAUUUAAGAGGUCCAGCACACAAAAGUUUUCUGGAAAUUGUUUCUUUUGUGGUAAGAAAGGUCAUCGCCAAAGUGAUUGCAGAUUCAAGAAAAAAAAAGAAGAAGUGAAUUCCUAUAAAGCUAAUGUUAUUGAAAACAAAUCUGAAAAGAUUUGUGCUAUGGUUUCUGAAAUACAAAUUGGCAUGAUUAUCGAAACCAAUAUGGCUGAAACUAAGUCCUAUGAUUGGUGGCUCGAUUCGGGUACAACAAUUCAUGUUUGUAAUGAUAAGAAAUUUUUAUUAUCAUACAAAGAAGAAACGGAAGGACAAAUGGUUCUCAUGGGGAACAAUAAUGCAGCCAUAGUAGCAGGGAAAUGAGUAGUUGAGAUCAACUUCACUUCUAGAAAGAAAGUCACAUUGUAUAAUGUCUUUCAUGUACCUUCCGUUAGGAAGAAUCUUAUUUCUGCUAGUUGUAUGUGUAAGCAUGGGCUUAAGAUUGUGCUUGAGGGUAAUACUUGUAUUAUCUCAAAGAAUGAAUUAUUUGUUGGGAAAGGGUAUUCUUGUGAUGGAAUGUACAAACUCAACAUUAAUAAUAAUAAUAUCAACUUAGCUUAUAUUGUUGAGUCUUGUGAUGUUUGGCAUGCUAAAUUAGCACAUUUGAAUUUUAGAUCUUUGAAAUACAUGUCUGAGCAUGGUUUGAUUAAUUGCAAUGAUGUUAAAGGUCAUAAGUGUGAAAUCUGCAUCCAAGCUAAAUUAACUAAGAAACAUUUUCUUAAAGCCGAACGAAAUACUCAAAUAUUGGAUUUAAUAUAUACCGAUAUUUGUGAGUAUAAUGGCGUUUUAACAAGAGGAGGUAAGAAGUACUUUAUCCCUUUUAUUGAUGAUUGUUCUAGAUACACUUAUAUGUAUUUACUUAGAACAAAAAAUGAAGCUUUUGAUAAAUUUAAAAUUUUCAAAGCUGAAGUUGAGAACCAAAAAGAUAAGAAAAUCAAAAUGGUUCGUAGUGAUAGAGGUGGUGAAUAUUUCUCAAUUGAAUUUAAUAAUUAUUGUGAAGAAUUUGGAAUUAUUCACCAAAGAUCAGCUCCAUUUACUCCUCAACAAAGUGGUUUGGCUGAAAGAAAGAAUAGGAUCUUCACGGAUAUGAUAAAUUCCAUGAUCCAUAAUGCAAAACUACCAAAUAAUUUGUGGGGGGAAGCAUUACUCACUGCAUGUCAUAUUCAUAACAGAAUUACAUCUUUGAAAACACAUAUAUCUCUUUAUGAAAUUUGGAAAGGAAGAAAACCAAACUUGAUGUAUUUAAGGGUCUAGGGUUGUUUAGCUUUUUAUAAAAUACAUGAUCCUAAAUCAUCAAAGUUAAGUGCUAGAUGUAUAAAGAGUGUUUUCGUAGGAUAUGCUGAAAAUUCUAAGGCUUAUAGGUUGUUAGAUUUAGAUUAUAAUGUGAUUGUGGAAUCUAGAGAUGUUGAAUUUAUUGAGAAUAAAUUUCAACAUGAUUCUAAUAUUGAAUUAGAAUCAAUUAUUGAUCAACCAUGUGUUAAUACUCCUGUUACCUCCACUAACAAUAAUAAAAGGAAAGAGUCUAUGACAUCUUUCGAACCAAUGAGGAGUCAACGUGAAAAGAAAGAAAAGAGUUUAGCUCCGGAUUUUAUUUCAUCACAAGCACUACUCUUCUUGGUUGAAGGGGAUAGAAAGAAUGUACUUAACAAAGUACCAUUAUUGUUAAAUAUUGAAAAAGAUCCAAAGACAUUUAGCGAAGCUAUGUCUUCUAGAGACGCUUCUUUUUAGAGAGAGGCGGUAAAUGAUGAAAUUGAUUCGAUUAUUUCGAAUCAAACAUGGGUCUUGGUUGAUCUUCCUCCAGGAUCUAAACCAAUUAGCAGCAAAUGGGUAUUUAGAAGAAAGUACAAUAGUGAUGGUUCUUUGCACACUUUUAAGGCUAGAUUAGUAGCCAAAGGGUUUAAGCAAAGAAAUGGUAUUGAUUAUUUCGAUACAUAUGCUUCGGUAGCAAGGUUAACUUCUAUAAGAGUGCUAUUUGCAAUUGCUUCAUUGAACAAUUUGUAUGUGCAUCUAAUGGAUGUUAAAACCGCUUUUCUUAAUGGUGAUCUUGAUGAAGAAAUCUAUAUGGAACAACCUGAGGGAUUUGUUUUACCAGGAAAUGAGAAAAAAGGUAUGCAAAUUAGUCAAAUCACUUUAUGGUUUAAAGCAAGCACCAAAACAAUGGCAUGAGAAGUUUGAUUCGGUAAUUUUAUCUCAUGGUUUUAAGCAUAAUAAUGCUGAUAAAUGUAUAUAUUUUAAAUUUACGAAUGAUUUUGGUGUGAUUAUAUGCUUGUAUGUUGAUGACUUGCUUAUCUUUGGGACAAAUAUGCAAGGAGUAGAUGAUACAAAGAAGUAUUUAACUUCACAAUUUAAGAUAAAAGAUCUUGGUGAAGUAGAUACUAUCUUAGGUGUCAAAGUGAAGAAACAUAGUGAGGGUUACUCGUUGUGUCAAUCUCAUUAUAUAGAGAAAGUGCUUCUUAAAUUCAAUUAUUUGAAAUUUAAAGAAGCUAAUACCCCAUAUGAUUCUAGUAUUAAAUUAUUAGAGAAUUCAGGCCGAGUAGUAGCACAACUAGAAUAUGCUAGUGCUAUUGGUAGCUUGAUGUAUGCUAUGCAUUGUACGAGGCCUGAUAUAGCAUUUGCAGUUUGCAAAAUGUCAAGAUUCACGAGUAACCCUAGUGUUGAACACUGGAAAGCAAUUGGUAGAAUACUUGGUUAUCUUAAAAGGACCAUUCAUUUGGGUUUAUUUUAUAAUGAUUAUCCUGAAGUACUGGAAGGAUAUUCAGAUGCUAGUUGGGUAACCAAUACAAGAGAUAAUAAAUCCACUUCUGGUUGGAUUUUUACAAUUGUUGGAGGAGCAGUUUCCUGGGCUUCAAAGAAACAAACGUACAUAACUCAUUCAACAAUGGAAAGUGAGUUUAUAGCACUCGCAGUUGCAAGCAAGGAAGUAGAAUGACUGAGAAAUUUGUUGUUUGAUAUAAUGUUAUGGCCACAACCGAUGCCAUAUAUUUCUUUGUACUGCGAUAGUGAAGCUACAUUGUCUAGAGCUUAUAAUAAAGUGUAUAAUGGAAAGUCUAGACAUAUUAGCUUGAGACAUGAAUAUGUGAAACAAUUAAUAGCAGAUGGUGUUAUUAAUAUUGUUUAUGUUAGGACUAAUAAGAACCUAGCGGAUCCUUUAAUAAAAGGUCUUACAAGAGACUUAGUUAAGGAUACAUCUUUUGGAAUGGGAUUGAAACCUUUAAAUAAUAAAGUCACCAACGACGAUAACCCAACUAUGUAGUAGUUGUACCGCUACUCCAUAGUUAAAUGGAUAAUAACAAGUUGUUGUUAUGUGACUGGUUUGGCACCGAGUAAUAAAUAAUCACAUUCGAGAUAUUCGGUGCAAAUAGCUACGAGGUUGAGGUUGAGUAUUUAUUCUUAAUGAAGUUCAAGUCUUAUAGUAGCUAAAGACAUGAUUUGAAACUUCACCUAAGUGAACAUAAGAAAUGGUGCCGUUUCUAACAAGAUCAUGGUUUAAUCUAGUAAAUGUUCAUGAAUUCAAGAUAGAGCACAAGGCCGGAAUAGUGCUAAAUAUUGGAACACAACUUUGAAAAUCUGGGAUAGCUUAUAUGUGAUGUAUCUCCGGUAUUUACUUAAGAGACAAAGUUUAAUGCUUAGCACAUUAUUGUCUUGUAAAUGCUUUGAAAUACACUCACUAAUUAAAGGUUAAAAUCGAAAGAUAUCUUUUUGUAUGUAUAAGUUUAUCAUUAAUAAAUAUGAAAAAUAUUACAAUCUAGUGGGGGAUUGUAAGAGAGAUUGUAACAUUUUCAAUCUUUCGUUUGAUAUUCUGGAAGAAAACGGUUUGCCGUUUAUGGAGAAAACGGCUAACUGUUUAAUUCCAAAUAGCAUGUUUUCUGUUCUAGAGAAAACGACUAACUAUUUGGAGAAAAUGGCUAACUGUUUAAUUCUAGAGAGCAUGUUUUCUGUUCUAGAGAAAGCGGCUAACCGUUUGGAUAAAACGACCAACCGUUAAUUACAGAGAGCAACUUAUUUGACAUUCUGGAAUAAAACGGCUCACCGUUAUUGAGAAAACGGCUAACCGUUUAUUUCCAGAAAGCGUGUUUUUGCGUCAAUUGGAAAAACGGUUAGCAAGCUUGGAAAUUUCAAUUGUCAAUCGAUGCAAACUCAAACCAAAAGAGUGUUUUUUUGAAGAAGUACAAUUUCUAAUGGUUGUAUUCUUUCAAAUAAACAUCUUCUUUAUUAAAGAUAGACAAACAAUUAGAUCAUAAUCAGAUUUUGCAGGUUUCAUAUAUGUUCUGGAAAUACAAUAGAUCAUAAUCAGAUUUUGCAGGUUUCAUAUAUGUUCUGGAAAUACAAUCUUAUUUGCUAGAGAUUGUAUUCAUGAUUUGAUAUAUCUUGGGGGUAAUUUACCAUUAAAACUCUAUAGCAAACCAAGAUUGGUGAGGACAAAUAAAACCUUAAAGGAAAGUGUGCAAACACGUCUCAAAUCCUAAGAAUUGUUUUUUGUUCUUUGCCUCCAUAUUCUUAAAAUUCGAAAAUUCACCCAUCAUAUACAUACUACAUAUUAUUAACUUUUGUUUUAUAACUAUAGUGUUUUUUUUUUACCGCAACUGUAGUUUAAAAACUACAGCACCUCAAUCCCAAACAAGACCUUAGUGGAAGCGAGCGCAAAAGCCGAUCACCCAACAUUCGCGCUUGUGAGAGACUCCACUCUCUCCACUCAUUCCAAAUCCAAAAUCCUCGACCGUUUCAAAAAUCUCGGCGUCAAUUUAGUUCUUGUGCGCCACUCUUUUAGCUUUCCAAUUUUCCCGCCAAUUUUCUUUUAUUGUGAUUAAUUAAUUAAUUAAUUAAUUAAAGUAAAGAUUUUAUAUUAUAAUUUUGUUUGCAGGGAGAUCUAUACAGCCAUGAGAGCUUGGUGAGUGCAAUAAAGCAAGUGGAUGUUAAGGUAAUGAUUAACUUAAGUAAAUGCGUUAACUAAUUACUUGGGAUUUUAAAUUCAAAUGCGUGAAUUGUUCUAAAAAAUGAUUUAUGUUUAUUAGUCAGAGAUUCUUUCCUUCAGAAUUUGGAAAUGAUGUUGAUCGCGUGCAUGCCGUUGAGCCAGCAAGAACAUCAUUUGCCACCAAGGCUAAAAUCCGCCGAGCUGUUGAGGCUGAAGGAAUUCCAUACACCUACGUAGCUUCCAAUUUCUUCGCUGGUUUGUAUCUUUCCAGUUUCUCACAGCCUGAAGCCACAGCUCCUCCAAGGGAUAAAGUGGUCAUCGUAGGUGAUCGAAAUGCAAAAGGCAAAGCGCUUCUGGAUACAUUUACUCUGUACACGCAAUGUGUGGUUACUGUUUGGGGAUAAAAAAGGAGAUUAAUUAAUAAAGAAAAUGAAAUUAUUGAGGGAUUUGCUGAAGAGUUGCGUGCACUCCUCAUUUUUCUCCACCACUCAUCUUACUUGCAAAAUGCAAUGACCAAACUAUCCUCGCCAAAGCCUAGACAUUUACUUGUGUUCAAAGGCCAUUUAAGAGAGACAAGUACAAAAAAUUAUAAAGGAUAGUGAGCAAAAGAAGAAAAUGGAAGGAGGGGAGAAUAAAAAAUGGGAGUGGGGCGUUAUCUAGGGAGGAUUUUUAUUUUUAUUUUUUUUCCUCUCUUCUCCAUGGCAUCUCUUUCUCUCUUUCUCCCACUAAGAAAUUCUUUCUUUUACACUCUAUUUUACUUUUAUUCAAAUUACACAAAAAACUUUUGGUUUUAAGGCAAUGUUUAUUAAGCCACGUGAAUUUGAAAAAGCAGGAAUAAGGGGAUGAUUUUAACACAUUAAUUCACCAACAUUAAUUGGAAAAGAUCAGUUGCCACUUCGAAUCAGAGUAAUUUCUUCGGCAAUAGCCAAAUAUUGAUAUUUGAUCUUGACACUGUAGUUAAAUCAAUGUAACUGGUUUUGUCAUUUGAUCCCCAGUAAUUUUUAACAAGGAAGACGAUAUUGGAAUUAAUUCUAUCAAAGCGGUGGAUGAUCCGAGAACACUGAACAAAAUACUUUACAUCAGACCCCGUUGCAAUAUCUACUCAUUUAAUGAUCUUGUGUCUCUGUGGGAGGAAAAGAUUGGCAAAGCCCUUGACAGGGUCUAUGUUACAGAGGAACAACUUCUGAAAAACAUUCAAGGUUAGUUAGAACUAUCACUUUAUCAAGUGCAUAGAUGUAACUGACCGAUAAUGGAAUUUUUUUUCCUUCUCCAAAAUGCGAUAGAAUCUAAUCGGUUUCAACAAUCUCAAGAACACCUAUUCAUGGUUGUGUUGUUUGAAAUCUGUAUGUAUCAGUUUUCUUUCUAGAUCUCAGAUUGCUCGCAAGGAUGUCAAGUUUUGAUGAUGCUUGCCUGUUUUCCUGUGUUUACAGAAGCUUCAUAUCCACUCAAUAUGAUAUUACCUAUUGGGCACUCUGCCUAUGUCCUGGGAGAUCAGACCAACUUCGAAAUUGAACCUUCAUUUGGAGUAGAGGCAACAGAGCUUUAUCCAGAUGUCAACUACACUACUGUGGAUGAGUACCUCAACCAGUUCAUAUAAACCUUCUGAGAUGAGCAGCAGGAUCCUAACAAAAAAUUGGGUGGUUUCCAUCCCUGAUUCUAUGGUAUAAAGAUAGCGGCUUUCCCUGCUUUUGCCAGUUCAAUGAAGUUUGUUAGAUGAUGUUAUUUAUACUAUACUAGCAAAGAUCAAGUUGCCUUUCUUGUCAAGAAGCCAAGCUCUGGCAUUGGUUUAUGCUAGUUUUUCAUGUUUAUUACUUUUUUUGCAUUCAAAAUGAUAAAACUGCAGAGGUUGUUGCAUGCACGUCAUUUGUUAGUAGGGGUAUCAAUUUAUGAACGUAUGAAGUAUCUCUUCUGCAACGGCAUCCUCCUUAACUGUCAGUAGGAUCACAAUAAGUCGACCAACCAUCUACCGUAUGGAUUAUCUAUAAAUUGAAAUUGGUGUGUAUUAUGGAUCUGUCACUCUGCUGUUUCUGUUUUCUUUUCUAUUUUUACCAAGAAAGAAACAUUGUUAAAACUGAAUGGUUGUUAUCUCGUCUUGUUGUAAUGUUGUGUAUGCUUUCUAGAAAAUAAUGAAGUGCCAAAUAUGAAAAUACUAGUGGCUACCUUACCAUCCUUAAUAAGUUGUCUGAUUGUCACCGUCAACAAUCACUCUCAGCAACUCAUAAUCCAUUUAAGCAUAUUAUAAAAUAAUCAAUUUUGUAUUUGCACCAACUUUUAGUUUUAAAUGACAAUUUCGUUGAUCCCCACACUUCUGUACUAAUCAAAUCCACUGAAACUGGACUUUUUUUUCUUUUUUUUUAUAAUUACAUCGAUUGCAUUGGCUAUUGCAGGGAAAAGACUGCCUCUACAGGGAACUAAACUUUCAGAAUUGUUCUUAUGAGGGUUUGAAUAUGCUCUCGUACUAGGUCAAUGGCCUAUUGGUUCGAGACCAUUCACAAAGAAAGAAAUGAGUUUUGCUUGUAUAAAUGAAAGAAAUCCAAAUGAUAACUAAUGUAUAGUGGUACAUGAGAAAAAUAAUUUCAGCCCGUGUAAAGUCAAAAAGAGAAAAUAUUAAAAGAAAGGAUAAUGUCAUUGAGUUCGGUGAAGUGAAAGAAAAUGAAAAACAUGGGAUUUAGUCAAACUUAGUGUCCCAAUCAGCAGAAAAAGGUUUUAGAAACUCACCUCAAGUUAAGCCAACUAUUAGGAGCUUUAUUUAAUCAUGACUUUCUAAUGUAUAGUACUCCAAUACUAAACGAGGGCUACCUCUACGCUUGCAAUUGUAAAUGAAAUUGAGUUCGUGACGCACAAUGAAGUGAGCAAAAUGAGUUGAGAUCUGAGAAUAUAUUAAAGAAAAUAUGAAUCAAUGAAUUUUGGUUAAAAAAAACAAAUGCUGGUUCUUCAAGACCUGCGUGUAUUGUGUAAGUUUUGUUAGGAGAAGGAAAGCAUUUUGGUCUAAAACGCACUAAAUCGGAUUCAUUUGCUUGAUAUCUAAUAAGGGUGAAUUAACCACUCGCCCACAGCAAUUCAAGUCCCAAAAAAAUUAUUGUGGGGGCUAAAUUUCUUCUUUAAUUAUAACAAAUAAUUGAGUGGAGGAUAAAAAUUUAGGCCAUGUAUAACAAUAACUAAUAUAAACUAGUCCUAAUAAUAGUAUAAUUGUAAAUAUCAGUUGUAGUCUCAUACAAUAUAAGUUUAUAGAUUAUAAUAUCGGCAUAAAAAGAAAAAUGAUAUCUGACGGUCAAUCAAUAAAAGGACAAAAACUUGGAGUAACAUACCACAAAGUCAAUGUAGCUGGACAGAUGAAUAUAAUAUGUAAACAAAUUUAAAUGGGAUAAUACCAUACGGUACAUACAUAACAUUUUAAAACUGAAUUAAAAAAAUAAAAUUAAAACUGAAUUGGAAUUCGUAUGUGUAUCCAGCUACCUUGCAACAGUUGUAAGGUACCCUAACUUUGCAACAAUUUCAUCCUUCGUGCAUUCGGUCACAAAGUCCAAAUUAGGCACGUUUAAGAAUCGAACUGAAAAACUAAAAAAAAAGAAUCCGGCGAUAUUUGCGAACCGGAAACGAGCCAGCGUUAUGCUUAUGUCAUUUCAGAGAUAUCAACAGUCGUGCUUUCAGUCCUUAAACCUCAAGGGCAUUUUCGUCCUUUCACUCAAGCGUGAAACUGCAUGUAAGAACUGCUUCGCUUACACGCUCCAUGCACAUUUAAAGGCACCACUGUCGGAUAAAAAAUAUCCAUCCAUUUGAUCAUUUCAAAACAAAACGAAAAAAAAAAUCUCAGUAAUUGAACUGAACGAGUCUCAGAAAUGGCAUCGAAAAGUAAGAUUCUAUUCAUCGGCGGGACAGGGUAUAUCGGUAAAUUCACUGUCGAAGCGAGCGUAAAAGCCGGCCACCCGACGUUCGUGCUCGUGAGAGAAUCCACAAUCUCUGGUCCUUCCAAAUCUCAACUCCUCGAUCACUUCAAAAACCUCGGCGUCAAUCUUGUCAUAGUGCGUUUUCAUUUUUCUCUUUUCUUUAUUUUUUAUUCCGAUCAUUUUUACACGUCGAAGUGUAGCAUCUACUACUUAAUAUACAUAAUGAUAUUAUUAUUUUUUAAUUUUUUUGGGUUGCUGUUAUUAUUAUACAGGGAGAUGUGUUGAAUCACGAGAGUUUGGUGAAGGCGAUAAAACAAGUGGACGCGGUGAUAUCAACAGUUGGUCACACUUUAAUAGCCGAUCAGGUCAAGAUUAUUGCUGCCAUUAAAGAAGCCGGUAACGUUAAGGUAUGACAUAAUUAAUGUAAAUGUCUUAGAUUUCGAUCAGGAUUGUGCACUCGUGCACACGUGGUGAUUUAUUCUUCGUGUGGAGCUCGCUGUAGAGUAGAGCUCCCAGUUCCGCUAAUAAACACCCGUCAGAUGCGCAAUUGCGCCUCAAAAUAAUUUAAUUAAUUAAUUAGGUAUAAACACCGAUGGCAUGAAAGCAAUUAAAAUUAGUUGAUGUUUAUAAAUUAUUUAUUACUCAGAGAUUCUUACCAUCGGAAUUUGGAAAUGAUGUUGAUCGAGUCGAAGGCGCCGUAGAGCCAACAAAAUCGACGUAUGACGUAAAGGCGAAAAUCCGCCGAGCCGUUGAGGCAGAAGGCAUUCCGUACACUUACGUAGAAUCUUAUUGUUUUGAUGGGUAUUUCCUCCCCAAUUUGUUGCAGCCUGAGGCCACUGCCCCCCCUAGGGAUAAGGUUGUCAUCUUAGGCGAUGGAAAUCCAAAAGGUAAUAUAAUUUAAUUAAGCUCUGUUUGUUUGGUAUGUAUUGCGGUGUUAAUGUUAUUGUCUGUUGUACAAUGGAUGGUCUUGCUUGGUACUGUUGUUGGAGAGCUGCAGUGUUUUGAUAAACACCUCUAUAGUCUAUCCUUAUCCUUAGCUUUCAAGUUAAGUUGAUUUUAUACAACACUUGUUUAAUUAAAAACUUGUAAUAUUCUUACUACUUUGAUAAAAAAAAUAUUACGAUUAAAGUAUUAAUGGCACCAUAAUACGAAAUGAAUCUUAAGUGGUCAUUAUAGAUUUUAAGAUAGAGUUUUAAGUGAUUACCAGAUACUUUAGCUGCUGAACCGCCACAUCAUGGUUGCCACACAACAAUUUCAAACAGAACCUAAAUAACUUCAUUGCAAAACAGUUAAAUGAAUCUAACUUAGUUUCGUCGUUUGAUUUUCAGCUGUUUUUAACAAGGAAGAUGAUAUUGGAACCUACACUAUCAAAGCGGUUGAUGAUCCGAGAACCUUGAACAAAAACUUUUACAUUCAGCCUCCCGGUAAUAUUUACUCAUUCAAUGAUCUUGUGUCUCUGUGGGAGAGAAAGAUUGGUAAAACCCUCGAAAAGGAGUAUGUUUCAGAGGAGCAGCUCCUAAAGAAUAUUCAAGGUUGGUUAAAACUCUCUUUUUUAAAUGUAUUAAAGAGAGCCGUAUAUUCUCUGCCGUAAAUGUUAUUGAUCCUGUCUUCUCCAAAAUGUUGCAGAAGCUGCACCUCCACACAAUGUGAUAUUAUCAAUUUAUCACUCUGCUUUCGUGAAGGGAGUUCAAACCAACUUCAAGAUUGAACCAUCUUUUGGAGUUGAAGCCUCGCAGCUUUAUCCUGAUGUCAAGUACACUACAGUUGAUGAGUACCUCAAUCAGUUUGUGUAACCCUUCUCUGUUUCCAGCUGCAGCUUGCAGGAUCUUGGACUCUUGGUAAAUAAAUAAUUGGCUUGUUGCCAUCUUUGGUUUUAUAUGUAAAAAUUAUGGUUGUUGGCCUUACUUUCUUCUGGUUGUCCAUGGAAUUUGUUAGACCAUAUUAUGUUUGCUAUGUCAGUGAUCAAAUGAAGUAGGCCAUGUACUUGAUUUGAGAGUAGUAGUUAUAAAAAGCCAUCAUGAUCAGGUGGGUGCGUGGGUUGGGCUUCUAUUAGGGUGCGUGUGUUGGGCUUCAGGGGCUUGUGAUAUGGGUUCGACAGCCCCUAACGGGCAGUCAUUAUAAAAAUAAUUAUAGAGUUACAAAUCUAUGUAAAAAGCAAAAAUUAAAAGUAAUUUAUCAAUAAAAAUAAUUAAAAUUAAUAAAAAGUAGGUAUGAUAUUUCAGAAAUUAAAUUAAAGAUAGCAUUCUAAAGAGUUGGAUAAUCCUCCAACUAAACUAAAGAUCUAGUACAUUUGAGAGCAAAUUUAAUUAAAGAAAAGGAUAAGGAAAAACAAUAGAAUAAUAAUAUUAAAAAUUGCAAAUCUUGGUCUUUUUUUUUUACGAUGAUGUUGAUUUCUUAUAAAUUUAAUCUUAUCUAUAGAAUUAUUUAGUUACUGUAUGUCAAAAUUUCCUAUAAAGAUGAAGAAAAAUUAUAUUAGGAGAAGAUCCAAAUCCGUUUAACUGAUGCAUCAUCAACAACAUGAGUACAACAUUUUCGAAUAAACAAAAGAAACUCGUUUUAUGUGCGAACCAGUUCCAAAAUAAAGAGCAGACUAUUGGAAGGAGACAAAUACUACAAGAAGAACAAAACAUUCUACAGUUCCUACAUGAGCCCGCAACAAUUAAUUAUUAACUCGACAUUCAUUACACUUUUUCUUUAAUUUGACAAAGAAACCAAAAAUAAGAUAAAAUUGACUAAGAAAUAAAAAAAUGACCAAAAUCUUUUUGAAGUUUUGCCAGUUCAGCCAUGCACGCUUAUCUUUAUUCACUUGUUUCCUUUCUUUCCUGGAGCCUUCACAAAUCCUUUACCUUUCUGAGCCUUGCCAAUUUUCCCCUUCUUCAAACCACCUGGCCUUGCUGGAUCCACGUGUCCUUGCAUCCUUUUUCAUUCGUGGAUCAACAAGAAUCUCCCCCUUUCCAACUCUCUCUUGAACUCCUUUCUUUGCGACCAUGUAUUCUUUUGUAGGCCUUUUGGGUAUAGUUGUCUUGUAUAAUUGUUCAAUUUGAUUCCUCUUCGAACGAUCAGAGAUGUCCGCUUAGUCUAAUAUGACAUUUGCCUUCUUGCGAACCUUCUCAAGAUUUCGCAUGGCAACCCGUAUCUUUCGAGCUUUGGUCUUAGCCACCUUCUUGGCAAUAAGGGUGGGCGAUUCGGUUUUGGGAUAAACUUUUGGUUUCGUAUCGGUUUAGAUUCAAAAAUAGUAUAAAAAAAUAUUUAGAUUUUAUGGGAAAAAAUCUGAACCGAAACUGACCUAUCGAUUUCGUCUCGGUUUCAGUUUAGUUUCGAUUCUCCUAAUAGUUUUGUUUUGCCUUAUUGACUUCCGGUCAAGGACACUUUUGAAAAAUUUACAAACAAAAAAAAAUUGGCCAUAACAAAAUUUCUAUAUGUAAAUAUUUCCUAAACAUUGGGCUAUACUAAAUUUUUUUAAAAGGUAGGGAUCCAAACGAUAUUAUCCCUCUACUUCAUCUUCAACCUUCGUCACUUAGCAGCUACCACAGUAUCGAAAUGGAAAAACUAAAAAAGCACCGUAGGAUACGCAUAUCCACACAUAUCUAAUAAAACUAAAUAUUAUUAAUAAUUUAGUAUAGUAAUAAUAAAACAAGACAAACAUGAAAUUAGAAAAGACUAAAGAGCUUUUUAAGAAAAAAGCCAUUUAAAAAACGAAAAAUAGCAAGUUAUUUGGCUAGUUAACUGGCGACAGAAGUAAUGGAAAGAAGCAACAACGGCAGCGGCAGGUCAACAACGAAGAUUCAGCAGCACCGACCACCCACAGACUUGGAUUCGAUUGCAAAGUUGGGACUUAGGAUUUGGGUUUGUGGCUGCUGAAAUUGAAAGCGAGAGAGUAGAAAGUAGAGACUGAGAGUGGUGCAAACAUGUGUAAUUCUGUGUGUGUGUGUGUCUAUAUAUAUAUAUAUAUAUAUAUAUAUAUAUAUAUAUAUAUAUAUAAUGUGAAAUUAUAAAAAUGCCAUUAUAUCGGUUCGAUUCGAAUUUUGUAACUUGUGAUCCGAAAACUGAACCAAAUCGAAUCAUUUGGUUUGGUAUUUAUAUAUUCGGGUUUUUAAUUUAAAAAAAACUAAAUUAAAACUGAAAAAACCAGAACCGAAUUUUUUUUUUUUUUUUUGUUUCGGUUCAAUUCUGCCCAUCCCAACUUAGUAGGCUGGGCAUCAAUUUCUUUGAAUUGUGCUUUCAUUGCAGUAAUCUCCUCCUUGGUAAUAGGUUUAAUUGCUUACUGAUGCCUCAUUUCCUCUAGUAACAACUAGUCUAACAAGUCAUCAUCGUCAAACAUGUACCUAUUAUAAGCAUCAUCCAGAAUUUGCUCUCUUUGCAUUUUGCUUAGUGUCUUCUUUGCACAAGCUAAUAUCUCAGCUUUUUGUAUCAAUAUCUUUAUCUUUUGAUUCACCAGCGGAUGAAUCAUCACCGGAAUAGAGUGGUGAAGGCCCCAUAGAUCAGUGUGAUCAAGUUCUAGUGUAGUUUUGGUUUUGAUUUCAGUAUUAGGAAAAUGAAGCCUAUGAAAUUUACCAAGCUAACAUGCUUCACAAAAGUGCUUUAAUACUUGACUAUGAAUACUUGAAGACGAUAAAUGAGGAUAAAUAAAUUUAAGGCAAAUGUUAUGUUACAAUUAAUGUAACAUACACACUCAAUAACAACCACACAAAUUUUGUGGGCCCAUUAUUUGUGUGGUUGUUGUUGAGUGUGUAUGUUACAUUAAUUGUAACAUAGGGGCUCCCUAAAUUUAAAUAUGCAUUAGAUUUUGAGGGUUGGGAUGUCAAAACUUUUGGUGAAAAAGAGUUAGUACAAGCAUUUUUAUUGAGAUUUAAAACAUUUCUUAAGAUGAUCAAUGCUAGUUACAGAAUAGGAAUGAAAAAAAAAGGCAACAUAGACAAAGGUUUGUUUAUUUGAUUGUAAGAUAGAAAAGACUUGUAUUUAGGUUGUGGAAAGGAUUUGAGCAGCAAUUUAUACAACCUUUUCUCAGCAAAACCUUCCUCUUCAAUGAAUCCUUCACAAAACAAAUAGAUCCAAGAAAUUUGACAAAUAAAUUGUUGUCAAUGGUAAGUUUUGAAAUGCUUAAUAGAUUCUUUGUAAUGGAUGGAACAAACAAUACAUCCUUAAGUAAAAUAUGUCUUAUAUUAUCUUUUUUUUUAAUUAUUUUUAAAAAAUAAGUGAAUAAUAGUAUGUCAAUCUCAAAUAUCAAUAUGUACAAUUUUUAUUUGUGUAAGAAUUUGCAUCCAAUAAUCAUCAAUACAUAAUUGUCUUUUAAUUUAAUUGUUCUCACCUCCCUUCCAAACUUUGAAAAGGUAAAAUAAGAUCAAUCAUGUCGGUGGCAAUUAAUAUAAGGAUUACUUUUCUUAUUUGUAGUAACGUCCUCUGAUUAUUUAGCUGAUUUUCAAGCUACACAUUUAUUCCAUUUGAUGUUGAUAUUAGUAAAAUUAAUGUAAUAUUUAAAAAGGAAAAAAAUCCGUCGAGCUAAAAGCUGAGUAUAAAAUUGAACCCGACCCAAACCAGAAACGCACGCCAACAGCAUGCUUGCGUCAGUCGGCCCAAGCCCAUAAACCCACCAAGCCCAAUCCAAAUAGAAAAAUGAAUUGGAUGCCCGAGAUAGCACAAACAGAUAAGUAACGCUAGCGCUAUCCCCAGUCUCAUAUCUUCAACGGUAUCCAGCCAACAUCUCAAAGUGUUCAAUUUUUUUUUGAAGCUAAAAAAAAAAUUCAAAAUUUUCAAGUGGAAUCUGGGAAGAUGGCAACAAAAAGCAAGAUUCUGGUUAUCGGCGGAACCGGAUACAUAGGUAAGUACUUAAGGUGCGUUUGAAAUUGAAGUUGGACAGGUAUAACUUUAAAACUGCAGCACUAAAAUGUUUGGUAAACACUAACUAUUGUAACUUAAAAACUAUUUAAUAUAAUUUUUCACUUGUAUAAUAAAAAAUUUAUUAUAUCUUUAAUAAUUUUAUCAAAAUUAUUAUUUAAAAUAUAUACAUACUACAUAUUAUUAAUUUUUGUUUUAUAACUAUAAUUUUUUUCCUACCGCAACUGUAAUUUAAAAACUACAGCACCUCAAUCCCAAACAAGACUUUAGUGGAUGCGAGCGCGAAAGACGAUCACCCAACAUUUGCGCUUGUGAGAGACUCCACUCUCUCCACUCCUUCCAAAUCCAAAAUCCUCGACCGUUUCAAAAAUCUCGGCGUCAAUUUAGUUCCUGUGCGCCACUCUUUUAGCUUUCCAUUUUUCCUGCCAAUUUUCUUUUAUUGUGAUUAAUUAAUUAAUGUAAAGAUUUUAUAUUAUAAUUUUGUUUUCAGGGAGAUCUAUACAGCCAUGAGAGCUUGGUGAGUGCAAUAAAGCAAGUGGAUGUGGUGAUAUCAGCGAUAGGUCGCACUCAAUUAGCUGAUCAACUCAACAUUAUCGCAGCAAAUUGCGAUAACUAAUUACUUGGGAUUUUAAAGAAGCUGGAAAUGUUAAGGUACUGAUUAACUUAAGUAAAUGCGUUAACUAAUUACUUGGGAUUUUAAAUUCAAAUGCGUGAAUUGUUCUAAAAAAUGAUUUAUGUUUAUUAGUCAGAGAUUCUUUCCUUCAGAAUUUGGAAAUGAUGUUGAUCGCGUGCAUGCCGUUGAGCCAGCAAGAACAUCAUUUGCCACCAAGGCUAAAAUCCGCCGAGCUGUUGAGGCUGAAGGAAUUCCAUACACCUACGUAGCUUCCAAUUUCUUCGCUGGUUUGUAUCUUUCCAGUUUCUCACAGCCUGGAGCCGCAGCUCCUCCAAGGGAUAAAGUGGUCAUCGUAGGUGAUGGAAAUGCAAAAGGCAAAGCGCUUCUGGAUACAUUUACUCUGUACACGCAGUGUGUGGUUACUGUUUAGGGAUAAAAAAGGAGAUUAAUUAAUAAAGAAAAUGAAAUUAUUGAGGGAUUUGCUGAAGAGUUGCGUGCACUCCUCAUUUUUCUCCACCACUCAUCUUACUUGCAAAAUGCAAUGACCAAACUAUCCUCGCCAAAGCCUAGACAUUUGCUUGUGUUCAAAGGCCAUUUAAGGGAGACAAGUACAAAAAAUUAUAAAGGAUAGUGAGCAAAAGAAGAAAAUGGAAGGGGGAGAGUAAAAAAGGGGAGUGGGGCGUUAUCCAGGGAGGAUUUUUAUUUUUAUUUUUUUCCUCUCUUCUCCAUGGCAUCUCUUUCUCUCUUUCUCCCACUAAGAAAUUCUUUCUUUUACACUCUAUUUUACUUUUCUACAAAUUACACAAAAAGCUUUUGGUUUUAAGGCAAUGUUUAUUAAGCCACAUGAACUUGAAAAAGCAUGAAUAAGGGGAUGAUUUUAACACAUUAAUUCACCAACAUUAAUUGGAAAAGAUCAGUUGCCACUUCGAAUCAGAGUAAUUUCUUCGGCAAUAGCCAAAUAUUGAUAUUUGAUCUUGACACUGUAGUUAAAUGAAUGUAACUGGUUUUGUCAUUUGAUCCCCAGCAUUUUUUUAACAAGGAAGACGAUAUUGGAAUCAAUUCUAUCAAAGCGGUGGAUGAUCCAAGAACACUGAACAAAAUACUUUACAUCAGACCCCGUUGCAGUAUCUACUCAUUCAAUGAUCUUGUGUCUCUGUGGGAGGAAAAGAUUGGCAAAGCCCUUGACAGGGUCUAUGUUACAGAGGAACAACUUCUGAAAAACAUUCAAGGUUAGUUAGAACUAUCACUUUAUUCGUUACUGAUGACAACACAUGGAGAAAUUUUCCUUGGUCUUAUCAAGUGGAUAGAUGUAACUGACCGAUAAUGGAAAAUUUUUUCCUUCUCCAAAAUGCGAUAGAAUCUAAUCGGUUUCAACAAUCUCAAGAACAUCUAUUCAUGGUUGUGUUGUUUGAAAUCUGUAUGUAUCAGUUUUCUUUCUAGAUCUCAGAUUGCUCGCAAGGAUGUCAAGUUUUGAUGAUGCUUGCCUGUUUUCCUGUGUUUACAGAAGGCUCAUAUCCACUCAAUAUGAUAUUAUCUAUUGGGCACUCUGCCUAUGUCCUGGGAGAUUAGACCAACUUCGAAAUUGAACCUUCAUUUGGAGUAGAGGCAACCGAGCUUUGUCCAGAUGUCAACUACACUACUGUGGAUGAGUACCUCAACCAGUUCAUAUAAACCUUCUGAGAUGAGCAGCAGGAUCCUAACCAAAAAUUGGGUGGUUUCCAUCCCUGAUUCUAUGGUAUAAAGAUAGCGGCUUUCCAUGCUUUUGCCAGUUCAAUGAAGUUUGUUAGAUGAUGUUAUUUAUACUAUACUAGCAAAGAUCAAGUUGCCUUUCUUGUCAAGAAGCCAAGCUCUGGCAUUGGUUUAUGCUAGUUUUUCACACUAAUAUUGGUAUUCACUAAUUUUUUUUUUUUCAUUUCACACCUCCAUCAUCAGUUGAGAUACCCUCUUGUAUGGUACUAACUUUGAUUUUCCUUAUGCUUCACUUGCUGUCUCUGCAGAUUCGUAAAAGAUCAUUCAUGGAUAAGAUCAGAACAUCAAUGUAAUACAGUAUGCAUUGAGAACUCCCACAUGAGUCUUGUUCUAGUUCUCGUUAGACAUGAAACAUGUUACAGUUCCAUAACUUGAGACAUUGUCAUUCAACAAUUAUCAUCGCAUUAAAACAGUGGCCAAUCCCUAACAGCUACCUUUUGACUCUUCACAUUUUUUUUCUGCAUUUUAUGCGCAUUAAUUAUCCAGACCUAGACUUACUCUUCUCAGCUUGGCCCGUUGGACAGUGAGUGAUGAAACAGAAAAUUUUUCAUGUUUAUGAAUGUAUGAAGUAUCUCUUCUGCACUGCACCGGCAUCCUCCUUAACUGUCAGUAGGAUCACAAUAAGUCGACCAACCAUCUACCGUAUGGAUUAUCUAUAAAUUGAAAUUGGUGUGUAUUAUGGAUCUGUCACUCUGCUGCUUCUGUUUUCUUUUCUAUUUUUACCAAGAAAGAAACAUUGUUAAAACUGAAUGGUUGUUAUCUCGUCUUGUUGUAAUGUUGUGUAUGCUUUCUAGAAAAUAAUGAAGUGCCAAAUAUGAAAAUACUAGUGGCUACCUUACCAUCCUUAAUAAGUUGUCUGAUUGUCACCGUCAACAAUCACUCUCAGAAACUCAUAAUCCAUUUAAGCAUAUUAUAAAAUAAUCAAUUUUGUAUUUGCACCAACUUUUAGUUUUAAAUGACAAUUUCGUUGAUCCCCUCACACUUCUGUACUAAUCAAAUCCACUGAAACUGGACUUUUUUUUUUUUUUUUUUAUAAUUACAUCGAUUGCAAUGGCUAUUGCAGGGAAAAGACAGCCUCUACAGGGAACUAAACUUUCAGAAUUGAUCUUAUGAGGGUUUGAAUAUGCUCUCGUACUAGGUCAAUGGCCUAUUGGUUCGAGACCAUUCACAAAGAAAGAAAUGAGUUUUGCUUGUAUAAAUGAAAGAAAUCCAAAUGAUAACUAAUGUAUAGUGGUACAUGAGAAAAAUAAUUUCAGCCCCUGUGUAAAGUCAAAAAGAGAAAAUAUUAAAAGAAAGGAUAAUGUCAUUGAGUUCGGUGAAGUGAAAGAAAAUAAAAAACAUGGGAUUUAGUCAAACUUAGUGUCCCAAUCAGCAGAAAAAGGUUUUAGAAACUCACCUCAAGUUAAGCCAACUAUUAGGAGCUUUAUUUAAUCAUGGCUUUCUAAUGUAUAGUACUCCAAUACUAAACGAGGGCUACCUCUACGCUUGCAAAUGUAAAUGAAAUUGAGUUCGUGACGCACAAUGAAGUGAGCAAAAUGAGUUGAGAUCUGAGAAUAUAUUAAAGAAAAUAUGAAUCAAUGAAUUUUGGUUAAAAAAAACAAAUGCUGGUUCUUCAAGACCUGCGUGUAUUGUGUAAGUUUUGUUAGGAGAAGGAAAGCAUUUUGGUCUAAAACGCACUAAAUCGGAUUCAUUUGCUUGAUAUCUAAUAAGGGUGAAUUAACCACUCGCCCACAGCAAUUCAAGUACCCAAAAAAGUUUUGUGGGGGCUAAAUUUCUUCUUUAAUUAUAACAAAUAAUUGAGCGGAGGAUAAAAAUUUAGGCCAUGUAUAACAAUAACUAAUAUAAACUAGUCCUAAUAAUAGUAUAAUUGUAAAUAUCAGUUGUAGUCUCAUACAAUAUAAGUUUAUAGAUUAUAAUAUCGGCAUAAAAAGAAAAAUGAUAUCUGACGGUCAAUCAAUAAAAGGACAAAAACUUGGAGUAACAUACCACAAAGUCAAUGUAGCUGGACAGUGAAUAUAAUAUGUAAACAAAUUUAAAUGGGAUAAUACCAUACGGUACAUACAUAACAUUUUAAAACUGAAUUAAAAAAAUAAAAUUAAAACUGAAUUGGAAUUCGUAUGUGUAUCCAGCUACCUUGCCACAGUUGUAAGGUACCCUAACUUUGCAACAAUUUCAUCCUUCGUGCAUUCGGUCACAAAGUCCAAAUUAGGCACGUUUAAGAAUCGAACUGAAAAACUAAAAAAAAGAAUCCGGCGAUAUUUGCGAACCGGAAACGAGCCAGCGUUAUGCUUAUGUCAUUUCAGAGAUAUCAACAGUCGUGCUUUCAGUCCUUAAACCUCAAGGGCAUUUUCGUCCUUUCACUCAAGCGUGAAACUGCAUGUAAGAACUGCUUCGCUUACACGCUCCAUGCACAUUUAAAGGCACCACUGUCGGAUAAAAAAUAUCCAUCCAUUUGAUCAUUUCAAAACAAAACGAAAAAAAAAAUCUCAGUAAUUGAACUGAACGAGUCUCAGAAAUGGCAUCGAAAAGUAAGAUUCUAUUCAUCGGCGGGACAGGGUAUAUCGGUAAAUCCACUGUCGAAGCGAGCGUAAAAGCCGGCCACCCGACGUUCGUGCUCGUGAGAGAAUCCACAAUCUCUGGUCCUUCCAAAUCUCAACUCCUCGAUCACUUCAAAAACCUCGGCGUCAAUCUCGUCAUAGUGCGUUUUCAUUUUUCUCUUUUCUUAAUUUUUUAUUCCGAUCAUUUUUACACGUCGAAGUGUAGCAUCUACUACUUAAUAUACAUAAUGAUAUUAUUAUUUUUUAAUUUUUUUGGGUUGCUGUUAUUAUUAUGCAGGGAGAUGUGUUGAAUCACGAGAGUUUGGUGAAGGCGAUUAAACAAGUGGACGUGGUGAUAUCAACGGUCGGUCACACUUUAUUAGCUGAUCAGGUCAAGAUUAUUGCUGCCAUUAAAGAAGCCGGUAACGUUAAGGUAUAACAUAAUUAAUGUAAAUGUCUUAGAUUCCGAUCAGGAUUGUGCACUCGCGAACACGUGGUGAUUUAUUCUUGGUGUGGAGCUCGCUGUAGAGUAGAGCUCCCAGUUCAGCUAAUAAACACCCCGUCACAUGCGCAAUUGCGCCUCAAAAUAAUUUAAUUGAUUAAUUAAGGAUAAAUACCAAUGGCAUGAAAGCAAUUAAAAUUAGUUGAUGUUUAUAAAUUAUUUAUUACUCAGAGAUUCUUACCAUCGGAAUUUGGAAAUGAUGUUGAUCGAGUUGAAGGCGCCGUAGAGCCAACAAAAUCGACGUAUGACGUAAAGGCGAAAAUCCGCCGAGCCGUUGAGGCAGAAGGCAUUCCGUACACUUACGUAGAAUCUUAUUGUUUUGAUGGCUAUUUCCUCCCCAAUUUGUUGCAGCCUGAGGCCACUGCCCCCCUAGGGAUAAGGUUGUCAUCUUAGGCGAUGGAAAUCCAAAAGGUAAUAUAAUUUAAUUAAGCUCUGUUUGUUUGGUAUGUAUUUCGGUGUUAAUGUUAUUGUCUGUUGUACAAUGGAUGGUCUUGCUUGGUACUGUUGUUGGAGAGCUGCAGUGUUUUGAUAAACACCUCUAUCCUUAGCUUUCAAGUUAAGUUGAUUUUAUACAACACUUGUUUAAUUCAAAACUUGUAAUAUUCUUACUACUUUGAUAAAAAAUAUUACGAUUAAAGCAUUAAUGGCACCAUAAUACGAAAUGAACCUUAAGUGGUCAUUAUAGAUUUUAAGAUAGAGUUUUAAGUGAUUACCAGAUACUUUAGCUGCUGAACCGCCACAUCAUGGUUGCCACACAACAAUUUCAAACAGAGCCUAAAUAACUUCAUUGCAAAACAGUUAAAUGAAUCUAACUUAGUUUCGUCGUUUGAUUUUCAGCUGUUUUUAACAAGGAAGAUGAUAUUGGAACCUACACUAUCAAAGCGGUUGAUGAUCCGAGAACCUUGAACAAAAACUUUUACAUUCAGCCUCCCGGUAAUAUUUACUCAUUCAAUGAUCUUGUGUCUCUGUGGGAGAGAAAGAUUGGUAAAACCCUCGAAAAGGAGUAUGUUUCAGAGGAGCAGCUCCUAAAGAAUAUUCAAGGUUGGUUAAAACUCUCUUUUUUUAAAUGUAUUAAAGAGAGCCGUAUAUUCUCUGCCGUAAAUGUUAUUGAUCCUGUCUUCUCCAAAAUGUUGCAGAAGCUGCACCUCCACACAAUGUGAUAUUAUCAAUUUAUCACUCUGCUUUCGUGAAGGGAGUUCAAACCAACUUCAAGAUUGAACCAUCUUUUGGAGUUGAAGCCUCGCAGCUUUAUCCUGAUGUCAAGUACACUACAGUUGAUGAGUACCUCAAUCAGUUUGUGUAACCCUUCUCUGUUUCCAGCUGCAGCUUGCAGGAUCUUGGACUGUUGGUAAAUAAAUAAUUGGCUUGUUGCCAUCUUUGGUUUUAUAUGUAAAAAUUAUGGUUGUUGGCCUUACUUUCUUCUGGUUGUCCAUGGAAUUUGUUAGACCAUAUUUUGUUUGCUAUGUCAGUGAUCAAAUGAAGUAGGCCAUGUACUUGAUUUGAGAGUAGUAGUUAUAAAGCCAUCAUGAUCAGGUGGGUGCGUGGGUUGGGCUUCUAUUAGGGUGCGUGUGUUGGGCUUCAGGGGCUUGUGAUAUGGGUUCGACAGCCCCUAACGGGCAGUCAUUAUAAAAAUAAUUAUAGAGUUACAAAUCUAUGUAAAAAGCAAAAAUUAAAAGUAAUUUAUCAAUAAAAAUAAUUAAAAUUAAUAAAAAGUAGGUAUGAUAUUUCAGAAAUCAAAUUAAAGAUAGCAUUCUAAAGAGUCGGAUAAUCCUCCAACUAAACUAAAGAUCUAGUACAUUUGAGAGCAAAUUUAAUUAAAGAAAAGGAUAAGGAAAAACAAUAGAAUAAUAAUAUUAAAAAUUGCAAAUCUUGGUCUUUUUUUUUUACGAUGAUGUUGAAUUCUUAUAAAUUUAAUCUUAUCUAUAGAAUUAUUUAGUUACUGUAUGUCAAAAUUUCCUAUAAAGAUGAAGAAAAAUUAUAUUAGGAGAAGAUCCAAAUCCGUUUAACUGAUGCAUCAUCGACAACAUGAGUACAACAUUUUUGAAUAAACAAAAGAAACUCGUUUUAUGUGCGAACCAGUUCCAAAAUAAAGAGCAGACUAUUGGAAGGAGACAAAUACUACAAGAAGAACAAAACAUUCUACAGUUCCUACAUGAGCCCGCAACAAUUCAUUAUUAACUCGACAUUCAUUACACUUUUUCUUUAAUUUGACAAAGAAACCAAAAAUAAGAUAAAAUUGACUAAGAAAUAAAAAAAUGACCGAAAUCUUUUUGAAGUUUUGCCAGUUCAGCCAUGCACGCUUAUCUUUAUUCACUUGUUUCCUUUCUUUCCUUUCUUUGCUGAAGCCUUCACAGAUCCUUUACCUUUCUGAGCCUUGCCAAUUUUCCCCUUCUUCAAACCACCUGGCCUUGCUGGAUCCACGUGUCCUUGCAUCCUUUUUCAUUCGUGGAUCAACAAGAAUCUUCCCCUUUCCAGCUCUCUCUUGAACUCCUUUCUUUGGGACCAGUAUUCUUUUGUCGGCCUUUUGGGUAUAGUUGUCUUGUAUAAUUGUUCAAUUUGAUUCCUCUUCGAACGAUCAGAGAUGUCCGCUUAGUCUGAUAUGACAUUUGCCUUCUUGCGAACCUUCUCAAGAUUUCGCAUGGCAACCCGUAUCUUUCGAGCUUUGGUCUUAGCCACCUUCUUGGCAGUAUGGGUGGGCGAUUCGGUUUUGGGAUAAACUUUUGGUUUCGUAUCGGUUUAGAUUAAAAAAUAAUAUAAAAAAAUAUUUAGAUUUUAAGAGAAAAAAUCCGAACCGAGACUCACCUAUCGAUUUCGGCUCGGUUUCAGUUCAGUUUUGAUUCUCCUAAUAGUUUUAUUUUGCCUUAUUGACUUCCGGUCAAUGACACUUUUGAAAAAUUUACCAAAAAAAAAAAAAAUGGCCAUAACAAAAUUUCUAUAUGCAAAUAUUUCCUAAACAUUAGGCUAUACUAAAUUUUUUUAAAAGGUAGGGACCCAAACGAUAUUAUCCCUCUACUUCAUCUUCAACCUUCGUCAUUAGGGAUGGCAAAAUCCGAGUUCGGGUCCGGGUUUAGCCAUUUGGGAUCCGGACCCGGAUGAAUAUUUUUUGUACCAGACCCGAAAAUAAACCCGCAUUUUUCCACUUCGAGUCCGGUACGGGUUCAACCCGAAAAAAUUCGGGUUCCCUGACUGCGGGUUUCCAACUCGGAUUAAUGAAUCCAAUUGAAAAAAAAAAACUAAAUUCAACAAAAAAAAUCAAAUAGAAAUACAUAUCCAGGAUUUCAGCAAAUCAAAGAAAAAUUAUUUCAUCUGGAAACUAAUUAACAAAAACAACAAUUUUGUUUGGCUGCCCAGAAUCAGCAACCCAAUGUGGCGGCUCGUUCAAAACAUUAGUGUUUUCAACAGAUUUUGGGGUAGGAAAAGCCAAACCUAUCUAGAACAAUGAAUUUGUAUUUUUGGGGGAGAUGAGGUACCUCACUGGUUUGUUGUGUGCGGUGCAGUGUAUCUUAAAUUUGGGGGAUGUGAGAAGGGGAGAGGGAGUGGUAAUAAUGGUGAAAGGUCAAAACCAAUAGAGAUGUCCUUCAAAAUGAGCUUCACACCUGUAAAACAGUGAAAUAAAGGUUAGAGGUGAAGCUGGGGUAUCCCGGUGUUCACACUCCGACGCUCAAGUUAGCAAACUCAAGCUUUUAUGACAAAGAGAACUGGCUAGCCCUCUGUAAAUUAGGGUUUAAGGUUCAAGGAAACCUAUUUUUUGGAAUGUGAGUGUUAAUGGUGAGUGAGAGACCUCUUGGAGAAUGAAACCUAUGCGCCUUUAUAUAUGGAGUACCUCAGCUGCCACGUGACGUACCCUUUUUGGCUAACGUCAUUUUUCAUUUUUAUGAUUUUUGGGUCGUUAUGUUCAUGUUCGCGGGGUAUCUCAUCUUUUAGAAACGUGGCGCGCGCUGGAGAGUGGUCCAGGGUACCUCUGCAGUAGCUGUCGGGUAGGCGGCUGAGGACCACUGUCCUUGGGACAGUGUCUUUCACUUUUGGUAAAGGUGACAGGCGGUUGUCCUCCCUUUUAACACGACAUUUUUUAUUCCUAAUUAUGACAAAAUCGAAUAAUAUCUUUUAAGAGAUGGAGACGUUUCUCAUGGUGGAUAUUUUCGGAAGAUUCUCUUGCAUCUGAUCAGCCGGGUUCCUCCAGUUACGCAGGGUACCUCAAUUUAUGUGGGGUACCUCUAAUUUUAUGGGGUACCACUAUUUGCGCAGGGUACCUUGAAUCAUGCCAAGUACCUUAGAUUAUGCGGAGUACCUCUAAUUGUGCGGGAUACCUCUAUUGCGCUAGGUACCUUGAAUCAUGCCGGGUACCUCAGAUUGUGCGGGGUAUCUCUAUUUGCGCAGGGUACCUUGAAUCAUGCUGGGCACCUCAGAUUGUGUGGGGUACCUUGAGUCAUGCGAGGUACCUCUAAUCAGGCCAGGUACCCUCUAAUUGUGCUGAGUACCUAUAAUCAUGCAGGGUACCUCUAAUCAAGCCGGGUACCUUUAAUCAUGCGGGGUACCUCUAAUCAGGCCGGGUACCUUAGAUUGUGCGGGGUACCUCUAUUUGCGCAGGGUACCUUGAAUCAUGCAGGGUAUCUCAGAUUGUGCGGGGUACCUCAAAUUGUGUGGGGUACUUCUAAUCGUGCGGGGUACCUCUAAUCAUGUCGGGUACCUCGGAUUGCACUGAAGUUAUUCCAUUCGUUGACACGUGGCGUUAUGCUAUCUUUCUUAUUUUUCCCCCAAACAACAUCCCUCUAGUUUCUUUUGGCAAGAAGUUUUGGAGGCAAAAGAAACUUACAUAAAAAGUAGAAGCGACACGUGGCGAUAUGAUGUUUAGCUCGAUGGGUAACUAAAUAGAGGGCGCCUUUAGGGGUACCCUGAGAACCCAAAAAGGGAAGAUGGGCUCCAUUUCCUCGGAAAUGGCUACCACUUUGGACAUGUUGGAAAGGAUAGAGCUAAUUGAUCAAAAAAAUUUCAUCUAUUUCUAGGGAAGAACACCAAAUACGGGUAGAGGGUAUCGUUAGGGUACCCCACCAUUACCCAUAGUUUGUUUUCUAGUGACUGCCAUGUAUAAAUCGCUCUGGUGAAGGCUUCAAUACAUUCUUUGGGCAUUUAAGAAGCAAUUAUUUGAUUAUCUCGGGAUCCACCUUAUUUAAGGGUAUAUUUCCUUCAUGUACUUUGAAGACAAAAAUAAAAUCACAGGGCUUUCUUCCUUGUAACUUCAGAGGUACCCUCGACAGAAGAAUAUAGUCAACAAUGCUUUUAAGCGUAUCAUGAUCGAGGAAUGGAGUGCUGAUCUGGGGUUGGUGGUGCCAAGAGUGGAGAAGAUGGUAGAUGAACCGGCUAUCUUGAAGGCGAUUAACGAUAGCGGGGCUCUCAACACAUCUUGGUCUGAAGGGGUAAUGCAAAUAAGUUUACGUUGAUUGGAUAUUCAGAAGAAGUAAUACGCCAUUAAAAGCAACAAGUUUUCCAAAAAGCCAACAAAGACAGACACCACCACACCACCCCGCGCUGGAUGAAAAACGAUGAAAGCAUGAUAAGUGACAUCGAGUAAGCCACGUUCUCUCUCUCUCUCUCACUCGCACUCGCACUCGCACUCGCACUCGCACUCGCACACACUGUUACUAAAAUAACCAAAAAUAAGAUUCCCAUCAAAAUAUUUUCAAGUAUCGUUCUUGAAAGUGGCGGCGGCUGAUGAUGAUGAACACAGCCGCGAUUGCGAUUGGCGAAGGCGGCGUUCAGCCCGUAUCACAGCUAGUUAUCGGUCGUGGCAGAAAAGAUAAUGAAACGACGGCUGAUGAUGAUAAUGAUGAUGUUGAACAGCCGCAAAUAUGGGUAAGUGAUGCGACGAUGAUUUGAUGAAGAUGAAGAUGAGCUGAAGAUGGAAUAAGAGUGGAAAUGUUUGUGCGGCUGGGAAAGUGUAAUGAGCUGCUAGGGCACCAUUUGGGUUUUUUUGCUUUCCUAUUUAUAUUAAAAAUAAUUUUUAAAAAUUAAUAUAUAUCCGGGUUCGGGUUUUGGAUGUACGGGUUUACCUAGACCCGGACACAUGCGGAUUCAGCAGCACCGACCACCCACAGACUUGGAUUCGAUUGCAAAGUUGGGACUUAGGAUUUGGGUUUGUGGCUGCUGAAACAGAAAGUGAGAGAGUAGAAAGUAGAGACUAAGAGUGGUGCAAACAUGUGUAAUUUUGUGUGUGUGUCUAUAUAUAUAUAUAUAAUGUGAAAUUACAAAAAUGCCAUUAUAUCAGUUCAAUUCGAAUUUUGUAACUUGUGAUCCAAAAACUGAACCAAACCGAACCAUUUGGUUUGGUUUUUAUAUAUUCAGGUUUUUAAUUUAAAAAAACUAAAUUGAAAUUGAAAGAACUAAACCGAACCGAAUUUUUUUUUUUUUUUUGUUUCGGUUCAAUUAUGCCCAUCCCUACUUAGUAGGCUGGGCAUUAAUUUCUUUGAAUUGUGCUUUCAUUGCAGUAAUCUCCUCCUUGGUAAUAGGUUUAAUUGCUUGUUGAUGCCUCAUUUCCUCUAGUAACAACUAGUCUAACAAGCCAUCAUCGUCAAACAUGUACCUAUUAUAAGCAUCAUCCAGAAUUUGCUCUCUUUGCUUUUUGCUUAGUGUCUUCUUUGCACAAGCUAUUAUCUCAGCUUUUGUAUGAAUAUCUUUAUCUUUUGAUUCACCAGAGGAUGAAUCAUCACCGGAAUAGAGUGGUGAAGGCCCCAUAGAUUAGUGUGAUCAAGUUCUAGUGUAGUUUUGGUUUUGAUUUCAGUAUUAGGAAAAUGAAGCCUAUGAAAUUUACUAAGCUAACAUGCUUCACAAAAGUGCUUUAAUACUUGAAGAGGAUAAAUGAGGAUAAAUAAAUUUAAAUAUACAUUAGAUUUUGAGGGUUGGGAUGUCAAAACUUUUGGUGAAAAAGAGUUAGUACAAGCAUUUUUAUUGAGAUUGAAAAUAUUUCUUAAGAUGAUCAAUACUAGUUACAAAAUUGGAAUGAAAAAAAAAGGCAACAUAGACAAAGGUUUGUUUAUUUGAUUGUAAGAUAGAAAAGACUUGUAUUUAAGUUGUGGAAAGGAUUUGAGCAGCAAUUUAUACAACCUUUUCUCAGCAAAACCUUCCUCUUCAAUGAAUCCUUCACAAAACAAAUAGAUCCAAGAAAUUCGACAAAUAAAUUGUUGUCAAUGGUAAGUUUUGAAAUGCUCAAUAGAUUCUUUGUAAUGGAUGGAACAAACAGUACAUCCUUAAGUAAAAUAUGUCUUAUAUUAUCUUUUUUUAAUUCUUUUUUAAAAAAUAAGUGAAUAAUAGUAUGUCAAUCUCAAAUAUCAAUAUGUACAAUUUUUAUUUGUGUAAGAAUUUGCAUCCAAUAAUCAUCAAUACAUAAUUGUCUUUUAAUUGAAUGGUUCUCACCUCCCUUCCAAACUUUGAAAAGGUAAAAUAAGAUCAAUCAUGUCAGUGGCAAUUAAUAUAAAGAUUACUUUUCUUAUUUGUAGUAACGUCCUCUGAUUAUUUAGCUGAUUUUCAAGCUACACAUUUAUUCCAUUUGAUGUUGAUAUUAGUAAAAUUAAUGUAAUAUUUAAAAAGGAAAAAAAUCCGUCGAGCUAAAAGCCGAGUAUAAAAUUGAACCGGACCCAAACCAGAAACGCACGCCAACAACAUGCUUGCGUUAGUCGGCCCAUGCCCAUAAACCCACCAAGCCCGAUCCAAAUAGAAAAAUGAAUUGGACACCCGAGAUAGCAGAAACAGAUAAGUAACGGUCGUGUUAUCCCCAAUCUCAUAUCUUCAACGGUAUCCAGCCAACAUCUCAAAGUGUUCAAUUUUUUUUUAAGCCAAAAAAAAAUUCAAAAUUUUCAAGCGGAAUCUGGGAAGAUGGCGAUGAAAAGCAAGAUUCUGGUUAUCGGCGGAACCGGAUACAUCGGUAAGUACUUAAGGUGCGUUUGAAAUUGAGGUUGAACAACUAUAACUUUAAAACUACAGCACUAAAAUAUUUGGUAAACACUAACUGUUGUAACUUAAAAGCUAUUUAAUAUAAUUUUUCACUUGUAUAAUAAAAAAUUUAUUAUCUUUAAUAAUUUUGUCAAAAUUAUUAUUUAAAAUAUAUACAGUAAGAGAGAUUGUAACAUUUUCAAUCUUUGGUUUGAUAUUCUGGAAGAAAACGGUUUGCCGUUUACGGAGAAAAUGGCUAACCGUUUAAUUUCAGAGAGCAUGUUUUCUAUUCUAGAGAAAACGACUAACCGUUUGGAGAAAAUGGCUAACCGUUUGGAGAAAACGGCUAACCGUUUUGAGAAAACGGCUAACCGUUUAAUUCCAGAGAGCAUGUUUUCUGUUCUAAAGAAAAUAACUAACCGUUUGGAUAAAACAACCAACCAUUAAUUACAGAGAGUAACUUAUUUGACAUUCUGGAAUAAAACGGCUCACCGUUAUUGAGAAAAUGGCUAACCGUUUAUUUCCAGAGAGCGUGUUUUUGCGUCAACUGGAAAAACGGUUAGCAAGCUUGGAAAUUUCAAUUGUCAAUCGAUGCAAACUCAAACCAAAAGAGUGUUUUUUAAAGAAGUACCAUUUUUAAUGGUUGUAUUCUUUCAAAUAAACAUCUUCUUUAUUAAAGAUAAACAAACUAUUAUAUCAUAAUCAGAUUUUGCAGGUUUCAUAUAUGUUCUGGAAAUACAAUCUUAUUUUCUAGAGAUUGUAUUCAGGAUUUGAUAUAUCUUAGGGGUAAUUUGCCAUUAAAACUCUAUAGCAAACCAAGAUUGGUGAGGGCAAAUAAAACCUUAAAGAAAAGUGUGCAAACACGUCUCAAAUCCUAAGAAAUUUUCUUUGUUCUUUGCCUCCAUAUUCUUAAAAUUUGAAAAUUCACCCAUCAAUCUUUAAGGUUUUAUUUUGAUGCAAAUAGAGGCUGAGAAGAGUUUGACGCCAUUUCUUAAUCCUAGUGUCCAUCUCGAUCGUUUUGAUGGAACAAAUUUCACUCGUUGGAAGGGAAAAUUGUUCUUUCUUCUUACUGUUCUUAAAGUGACAUAUGUUCUUGAUCCGAAAUUGGAACCAUUUCCAGAACCAAGAGAAGAUGAUACCGAAGUUGUUAAGGCUGCAAGGAAACGUCGUGAAGAUGAUGAAUUGAUGUGCCGGGGUCACAUACUCAAUACGCGUUCUGACAGGUUAUAUGAUCUCUACAAUUUUAUGACUUCUCCGGUGGAAAUUUGGAAUGCUCUUAAGUACAAAUACAAAACGGAGAAAGAAGGUACUGACAAAUUCCUUGUCUCUAAAUAUUUUGAAUUUAUUAUGAUAGACACACAAUCCAUUCUUGAUCAAAUACAUGAGUUAUAAAUUAUUGUUGCUAAGCUUCGAGAGUUAAAAGUUGAAAUUUUUGAAUCAUUUCAAGUUGGGACUAUUAUUGCUAAAUUGCCUCAAAGUUGGAAUGAUUAUAGAAAGAAACUCCUUCAUAGUAAAGAGAACAUAACUUUAGAAGAAUUGCAAAAACACUUGAUAAUUGAAGAAGAGACUAGGUCUCGCGAAUCCAAGGAUAAGCAUGAUUCUACUAAAGUUAAUGUUCUUGAAGCUAGUAAAUUCUCAAAGAAUUUUAAAGUCAAGAAUGACAAGAAAUUUAAGAAGUCCAGCACACAAAAGUUUUCUGGAAAUUGUUUCUUUUGUGGUAAGAAAGGUCAUCGCCAAAGUGAUUGCAGAUUCAAGAAAAAAAAAAGGAAGAAGUGGAUUCCUAUAAAGCUAAUGUUAUUGAAAACAAAUCUGAAAAGAUUUGUGCUAUGGUUUCUGAAAUGCAAAUUGGCAUGAUUAUCGAAACCAAUAUGGCUGAAACUAAGUCCUAUGAUUGGUGGCUCGAUUCGGGUACAACAAUUCAUGUUUGUAAUGAUAAGAAAUUUUUAUUAUCAUACAAAGAAGAAACGGAAGGACAAAUGGUUCUCAUGGGGAACAAUAAUGCAGCCAUAGUAGCAGGGAAAUGAGUAGUUGAGAUCAACUUCACUUCUAGAAAGAAAGUCACAUUGUAUAAUGUCUUUCAUGUACCUUUCGUUAGGAAGAAUCUUAUUUCUGCUAGUUGUAUGUGUAAGCAUGGGCUUAAGAUUGUGCUUGAGGGUAAUACUUGUAUUAUCUCAAAGAAUGAAUUAUUUGUUGGGAAAUGGUAUUCUUGUGAUGGAAUGUACAAACUCAACAUUAAUAAUAAUAAUAUCAACUUAGCUUAUAUUGUUGAGUCUUGUGAUGUUUGGCAUGCUAAAUUAGCACAUUUGAAUUUUAGAUCUUUGAAAUACAUGUCUGAGCAUGGUUUGAUUAAUUGCAAUGAUGUUAAAGGUCAUAAGUGUGAAAUCUGCAUCCAAGCUAAAUUAACUAAGAAACAUUUUCUUAAAGCCGAACGAAAUACUCAAAUAUUGGACUUAAUAUAUACCGAUAUUUGUGAGUAUAAUGGCGUUUUAACAAGAGGAGGUAAGAAGUACUUUAUCACUUUUAUUGAUGAUUGUUCUAGAUACACUUAUGUGUAUUUACUUAGAACAAAAAAUGAAGCUUUUGAUAAAUUUAAAAUUUUCAAAGCUGAAGUUGAGAACUAAAAAGAUAAGAAAAUCAAAAUGGUUCGUAGUGAUAGAGGUGGUGAAUAUUUCUCAAUUGAAUUUAAUAAUUAUUGUGAAGAAUUUGGAAUUAUUCACCAAAGAUCAGCUCCAUUUACUCCUCAACAAAGUGGUUUGGCUAAAAGAAAGAAUAAGAUCUUCACAGAUAUGAUAAAUUCCAUGAUCCUUAAUGCAAAACUACCAAAUAAUUUGUGGGGGGAAGCAUUACUCACUGCAUGUCAUAUUCAUAACAGAAUUACAUAUUUGAAAACACAUAUAUCUCUUUAUGAAAUUUGGAAAGGAAGAAAACCAAACUUGAUGUAUUUAAGGGUCUAGGGUUGUUUAGCUUUUUAUAAAAUACAUGAUCCUAAAUCAUCAAAGUUAUGUGCUAGAUGUAUAAAGAGUGUUUUCGUAGGAUAUGCUGAAAAUUCCAAGGCUUAUAGGUUGUUAGAUUUAGAUUAUAAUGUGAUUGUGGAAUCUAGAGAUGUUGAAUUUAUUGAGAAUAAAUUUCAACAUGAUUCUAAUAUUGAAUUAGAAUCAAUUAUUGAUCAACCAUGUGUUAAUACUCCUGUUACCUCCACUAACAAUAAUAAAAGGAAAGACUCUAUGACAUCUUUCGAACCAAUGAGGAGUCAAGGUGAAAAGAAAGAAAAGAGUUUAGCUCCGAAUUUUAUUUCAUCACAAGCACUACUCUUCUUGGUUGAAGGGGAUAGAAAGAAUGUACUUAACAAAGUACCAUUGUUGUUAAAUAUUGAAAAAGAUCCAAAGACAUUUAGCGAAGCUAUGUCUUCUAGAGACGCUUCUUUUUGGAGAGAGGCGGUAAAUGAUGAAAUUGAUUCGAUUAUUUCGAAUCAAACAUGGGUCUUGGUUGAUCUUCCUCCAGGAUCUAAACCAAUUAGCAGCAAAUGGGUAUUUAGAAGAAAGUACAAUAGUGAUGGUUCUUUGCAAACUUUUUAGGCUAGAUUAGUAGCCAAAGGGUUUAAGCAAAGAAAUGGUAUUGGUUAUUUCGAUACAUAUGCUUCGGUAGCAAGGUUAACUUCUAUAAGAGUGCUAUUUGCAAUUGCUUCAUUGAAUAAUUUGUAUGUGCAACUAAUGGAUGUUAAAACCGCUUUUCUUAAUGGUGAUCUUGAUGAAGAAAUCUAUAUGGAACAACCUGAGGGAUUUGUUUUACCAGGAAAUGAGAAAAAAGGUAUGCAAGUUAGUCAAAUCACUUUAUGGUUUAAAGCAAGCACCAAAACAAUGGCAUGAGAAGUUUGAUUCGGUAAUUUUAUCUCAUGGUUUUAAGCAUAAUAAUGCUGAUAAAUGUAUAUAUUUUAAAGUUACGAAUGAUUUUGGUGUGAUUAUAUGCUUGUAUGUUGAUGACUUGCUUAUCUUUGGAACAAAUAUGCAAGGAGUAGAUGAUACAAAGAAGUAUUUAACUUCACAAUUUAAGAUAAAAGAUCUUGGUGAAGUAGAUACUAUCUUAGGUGUCAAAGUGAAGAAACAUAGUGGGGGUUACUCGUUGUGUCAAUCUCAUUAUAUAGAGAAAGUGCUUCUUAAAUUCAAUUAUUUGAAAUUUAAAGAAGCUAAUACCCCAUAUGAUUCUAGUAUUAAAUUAUUAGAGAAUUCAGGCCGAGUAGUAGCACAACUAGAAUAUGCUAGUGCUAUUGGUAGCUUGAUGUAUGCUAUGCAUUGUACGAGGCCUGAUAUAGCAUUUGCAGUUUGCAAAAUGUCAAGAUUCACGAGUAACCCUAGUGUUGAACACUGGAAAUCAAUUGGUAGAAUACUUGGUUAUCUUAAAAGGACCAUUAAUUUGGGUUUGUUUUAUAAUGAUUAUCUUGAAGUACUGGAAGGAUAUUCAGAUGCUAGUUGGGUAACCAAUACAAGAGAUAAUAAAUCCACUUCUGGUUGGAUUUUUACAAUUGCUGGAGGAGCAGUUUCUUGGGCUUCAAAGAAACAAAUGUACAUAACUCAUUCAACAAUGGAAAGUGAGUUUAUAGCACUCGCAGUUGCAAGCAAGGAAGUAGAAUGGCUGAGAAAUUUGUUGUUUGAUAUAAUGUUAUGGCCACAACCGAUGCCAUCUAUUUCUUUGUACUGCGAUAGUGAAGCUACAUUGUCUAGAGCUUAUAAUAAAGUGUAUAAUGGAAAGUCUAGACAUAUUAGCUUGAGACAUGAAUAUGUGAAACAAUUAAUAGCAGAUGGUGUUAUUAAUAUUGUUUAUGUUAGGACUAAUAAGAACCUAGCGGAUCCUUUAACAAAAGGUCUUACAAGAGACUUAGUUAAGGAUACAUCUUUUGGAAUGGGAUUGAAACCUUUAAAUAAUAAAGUCACCAACGACGAUAACCCAACUAUGUAGUAGUUGCACCGCUACUCCAUAGUUAAAUGGAUAAUAACAAGUUGUUGUUAUGUGACUGGUUUGGCACCGAGUAAUAAAUAAUCACAUUCGAGAUAUUCGGUGCAAAUAGCUACGAGGUUGAGGUUGAGUAUUUACUCUUAAUGAAGUUCAAGUCUUAUACUAGCUAAAGACAUGAUUUGAAACUUCACCUAAGUGAACAUAAGAAAUGGUGCCGUUUCUAACAAGAUCAUGGUUUAAUCUAGUAAAUGUUUAUGAAUCCAAGAUAGAGCACAAGGCCGGAAUAGUGCUAAAUAUUGGAACACAACUUUGAAAAUCUGGGAUAGCUUAUAUGUGAUGUAUCUCCGGUAUUUACUUAAGAGACAAAGUUUAAUGCUUAGCACACUAUUGUUUUGUAAAUGCUUUGAAAUACACUCACUAAUUAAAGGUUAAAAUCGAAAGAUAUCGUUUUGUAUGUAUAAGUUUAUCAUUAAUAAAUAUGAAAAAUAUUACAAUCUAGUGGGGGAUUGUAAGAGAGAUUGUAACAUUUUCAAUCUUUGGUUUGAUAUUCUGGAAGAAAACGGUUUGCCGUUUAUGGAGAAAACGGCUAACUGUUUAAUUCCAAAUAGCAUGUUUUCUGUUCUAGAGAAAACGACUAACUAUUUGGAGAAAAUGGCUAACUGUUUAAUUUUAGAGAGCAUGUUUUCUGUUCUAGAGAAAACGGCUAACCGUUUGGAUAAAACGGCCAACCGUUAAUUACAGAGAGUAACUUAUUUGACAUUCUGGAAUAAAACGGCUCACCGUUAUUGAGAAAACGGCUAACCAUUUAUUUCCAGAGAGCGUGUUUUUGCGUCAACUGGAAAAACGGUUAGCAAGCUUGGAAAUUUCAAUUGUCAAUCGAUGCAAACUCAAACCAAAAGAGUGUUUUUUUAAAGAAGUACCAUUUCUAAUAGUUGUAUUCUUUCAAAUAAACAUCUUCUUUAUUAAAGAUAGACAAACAAUUAGAUCAUAAUCAGAUUUUGCAGGUUUCAUAUAUGUUUUGGAAAUACAAUCUUAUUUGCUAGAGAUUGUAUUCAGGAUUUGAUAUAUCUUGGGGGUAAUUUGCCAUUAAAACUCUAUAGCAAACCAAGAUUGGUGAGGGCAAAUAAAACCUUAAAGGAAAGUGUGCAAACACGUCUCAAAUCCUAAGAAUUGUUUUUUGUUCUUUGUCUCAAUAUUCUUAAAAUUCGAAAAUUCACCCAUCAUAUACAUACUACAUAUUAUUAAUUUUUGUUUUAUAACUAUAGUUUUUUUUUUACCGCAACUGUAGUUUAAAAACUACAGCACCUCAAUCCCAAAUAAGACCUUAGUAGAAGUGAGCGCGAAAGCCGAUCACCCAACAUUCGCGCUUGUGAGAGACUCCACUCUCUCCACUCCUUCCAAAUCCAAAAUCCUCGACCGUUUCAAAAAUCUCAGCUCGACCGUUUCAAAAAUCUCAGCGUCAAUUUAGUUCAUGUGCGCCACUCUUUUAGCUUUCCAAUUUUCCCGCCAAUUUUCUUUUAUUGUGAUUAAUUAAUUAAUUAAUGUAAAGAUUUUAUAUUAUAAUUUUGUUUGCAGGGAGAUCUAUACAGCCAUGAGAGCUUGGUGAGUACAAUAAAGCAAGUGGAUGUGGUGAUAUCAGCGAUAGGUCGCACUCAAUUAGCUGAUCAACUCAACAUUAUCGCAGCAAAUUGCGAUAACUAAGUACUUGGGAUUUUAAAGAAGCUGGAAAUGUUAAGGUUCUGAUUAACUUAAGUAAAUGCGUUAACUAAUUACUUGGGAUUUUAAAUUCAAAUGUGUGAAUUGUUCUAAAAAAUUAUUUAUGUUUAUUAGUCAGAGAUUCUUUCCUUCAGAAUUUGGAAAUGAUGUUGAUCGCGUGCAUGUCGUUGAGCCAGCAAGAACAUCAUUUGCCACCAAGGCUAAAAUCCGCCGAGCUGUUGAGGAUGAAGGAAUUCCAUACACCUACGUAGCUACGUAGCUUCCAAUUUCUUCGCUGGUUUGUAUCUUUCCAGUUUCUCACAGCCUGAAGCCACAGCUCCUCCAAGGGAUAAAGUGGUCAUCGUAGGUGAUGGAAAUGCAAAAGGCAAAGCGCUUCUGGAUACAUUUACUCUGUACACGCAAUGUGUGGUUACUGUUUGGAGAUAAAAAAGGAGAUUAAUUAAUAAAGAAAAUGAAAUUAUUGAGGGAUUUGCUGAAGAGUUGCGUGCACUCCUCAUUUUUCUCCACCACUCAUCUUACUUGCAAAAUGCAAUGACCAAACUAUCCUCGCCAAAGCCUAGACAUUUACUUGUGUUCAAAGGCCAUUUAAGGGAGACAAGUACAAAAAGUUAUAAAGGAUAGUAAGCAGAAGAAGAAAAUGGAAAGGGGAGGGGGGGGGGGGGAGAAUAAAAAAGGGGAGUGGGGCGUUAUCUAGGGAGGAUUUUUAUUUUUAUUUUUUUUCCUCUCUUCUCCAUGGCAUCUCUUUCUCUCUUUCUCCCACUAAGAAAUUCUUUCUUUUACACUCUAUUUUACUUUUAUGCAAAUUACGCAAAAAACUUUUGGUUUUAAGGCAAUGUUUAUUAAGCCACGUGAAUUUGAAAAAGCAUGAAUAAGGGGAUGAUUUUAACACAUUAAUUCACCAACAUUAAUUGGAAAAGAUCAGUUGCCACUUCGAAUCAGAGUAAUUUCUUCGGCAAUAGCCAAAUAUUGAUAUUUGAUCUUGACACUGUAGUUAAAUCAAUGUAACUGAUUUUGUCAUUUGAUCCCCAGUAAUUUUUAACAAGGAAGACGAUAUUGGGAUUAAUUCUAUCAAAGCGGUGGAUGAUCCAAGAACACUGAACAAAAUACUUUACAUCAGACCCCGUUGCAAUAUCUACUCAUUUAAUGAUCUUGUGUCUCUGUGGGAGGAAAAGAUUGGCAAAGCCCUUGACAGGGUCUAUGUUACAGAGGAACAACUUCUGAAAAACAUUCAAGGUUAGUUAGAACUAUCACUUUAUCAAGUGGAUAGAUGUAACUGACCGAUAAUGGAAAUUUUUUUCCUUCUCCAAAAUGCGAUAGAAUCUAAUCGGUUUCAACAAUCUCAAGAACACCUAUUCAUGGUUGUGUUGUUUGAAAUCUGUAUGUAUCAGUUUUCUUUCUAGAUCUCAGAUUGCUCGCAAGGAUGUCAAGUUUUGAUGAUGCUUGCCUGUUUUCCUGUGUUUACAGAAGCUUCAUAUCCACUCAAUAUGAUAUUACCUAUUGGGCACUCUGCCUAUGUCCUGGGAGAUCAGACCAACUUCGAAAUUGAACCUUCAUUUGGAGUAGAGGCAACAGAGCUUUAUCCAGAUGUCAACUACACUACUGUGGAUGAGUACCUCAACCAGUUCAUAUAAACCUUCUGAGAUGAGCAGCAGGAUCCUAACAAAAAAUUGGGUGGUUUCCAUCCCUGAUUCUAUGGUAUAAAGAUAGCGGCUUUCCCUGCUUUUGCCAGUUCAGUGAAGUUUGUUAGAUGAUGUUAUUUAUACUAUACUAGCAAAGAUCAAGUUGCCUUUCUUGUCAAGAAGCCAAGCUCUGGCAUUGGUUUAUGCUAGUUUUUCACACUAAUAUUGGUAUUCACUAAUUUUUUUUUUUCAUUUCACACCGCCAUCAUCAGUGGAGAUGCCCUCUUGUAUGGUACUAACUUUGAUUUUCCUUAUGCUUCACUUGCUGUCUCUGCAGAUUCGUAAAAGAUCAUUCAUGGAUAAGAUCAGAACAUCAAUUUGAUACAGUAUGCAUUGAGAACUCCCACAUGAUUCUUGUUCUAGUUCUGGUUAGACAUGAAACAUGUUACAGUUCCAUAACUUGAGACAUUGUCAUUCAACAAUUAUCAUCACAUUAAAACAGUGGCCAAUCCCUAACAGCUACCUUUUGACUCUUCACAUUUUUUUUCUGCAUUUUAUGCGCAUUAAUUAUCUAGACCUAGACUUAUUACACUUCUCAGCCUGGCCCGUUGGACAGUGAGUGAUGAAACAAAUUUUUUUUCAUGUUUAUUACUUUUUUUGCAUUCAAAAUGAUAAAACUGCAGAGGUUGUUGCAUGCACGUCAUUUGUUAGUAGGGGUAUCAAUUUAUGAACGUAUGAAGUAUCUCUUCUGCACCGGCAUCCUCCUUAACUGUCAGUAGGAUCACAAUAAGUCGACCAACCAUCUACCGUAUGGAUUAUCUAUAAAUUGAAAUUGGUGUGUAUUAUGGAUCUGUCACUCUGCUGCUUCUGUUUUCUUUUCUAUUUUUACCAAGAAAGAAACAUUGUUAAAACUGAAUGGUUGUUAUCUCGUCUUGUUGUAAUGUUGUGUAUGCUUUCUAGAAAAUAAUGAAGUGCCAAAUAUGAAAAUACUAGUGGCUACCUUACCAUCCUUAAUAAGUUGUCUGAUUGUCACCGUCAACAAUCACUCUCAGCAACUCAUAAUCCAUUUAAGCAUAUUAUAAAAUAAUCAAUUUUGUAUUUGCACCAACUUUUAGUUUUAAAUGACAAUUUCGUUGAUCCCCACACUUCUGUACUAAUCAAAUCCACUGAAACUGGACUUUUUUUUCUUUUUUUUUAUAAUUACAUCGAUUGCAUUGGCUAUUGCAGGGAAAAGACUGCCUCUACAGGGAACUAAACUUUCAGAAUUGAUCUUAUGAGGGUUUGAAUAUGCUCUCGUACUAGGUCAAUGGCCUAUUGGUUCGAGACCAUUCACAAAGAAAGAAAUGAGUUUUGCUUGUAUAAAUGAAAGAAAUCCAAAUGAUAACUAAUGUAUAGUGGUACAUGAGAAAAAUAAUUUCAGCCCCUGUGUAAAGUCAAAAAGAGAAAAUAUUAAAAGAAAGGAUAAUGUCAUUGAGUUCGGUGAAGUGAAAGAAAAUAAAAAACAUGGGAUUUAGUCAAACUUAGUGUCCCAAUCAGCAGAAAAAGGUUUUAGAAACUCACCUCAAGUUAAGCCAACUAUUAGGAGCUUUAUUUAAUCAUGGCUUUCUAAUGUAUAGUACUCCAAUACUAAACGAGGGCUACCUCUACGCUUGCAAAUGUAAAUGAAAUUGAGUUCGUGACGCACAAUGAAGUGAGCAAAAUGAGUUGAGAUCUGAGAAUAUAUUAAAGAAAAUAUGAAUCAAUGAAUUUUGGUUAAAAAAAACAAAUGCUGGUUCUUCAAGACCUGCGUGUAUUGUGUAAGUUUUGUUAGGAGAAGGAAAGCAUUUUGGUCUAAAACGCACUAAAUCGGAUUCAUUUGCUUGAUAUCUAAUAAGGGUGAAUUAACCACUCGCCCACAGCAAUUCAAGUACCCAAAAAAGUUUUGUGGGGGCUAAAUUUCUUCUUUAAUUAUAAAAAAUAAUUGAACGGAGGAUAAAAAUUUAGGCCAUGUAUAACAAUAACUAAUAUAAACUAGUCCUAAUAAUAGUAUAAUUGUAAAUAUCAGUUGUAGUCUCAUACAAUAUAAGUUUAUAGAUUAUAAUAUCGGCAUAAAAAGAAAAAUGAUAUCUGACGGUCAAUCAAUAAAAGGAUAAAAACUUUGGAGUAACAUACCACAAAGUCAAUGUAGCUGGACAGUGAAUAUAAUAUGUAAACAAAUUUAAAUGGGAUAAUACCAUACGGUACAUACAUAACAUUUUAAAACUGAAUUAAAAAAAUAAAAUUAAAACUGAAUUAGAAUUCGUAUGUGUAUCCAGCUACCUUGCCACAGUUGUAAGGUACCCUAACUUUGCAACAAUUUCAUCCUUCGUGCAUUCGGUCACAAAGUCCAAAUUAGGCACGUUUAAGAAUCGAACUGAAAAACUAAAAAAAAGAAUCCGGCGAUAUUUGCGAACCGGAAACGAGCCAGCGUUAUGCUUAUGUCAUUUCAGAGAUAUCAACAGUCGUGCUUUCAGUCCUUAAACCUCAAGGGCAUUUUCGUCCUUUCACUCAAGCGUGAAACUGCAUGUAAGAACUGCUUCGCUUACACGCUCCAUGCACAUUUAAAGGCACCACUGUCGGAUAAAAAAUAUCCAUCCAUUUGAUCAUUUCAAAACAAAACGAAAAAAAAAAUCUCAGUAAUUGAACUGAACGAGUCUCAGAAAUGGCAUCGAAAAGUAAGAUUCUAUUCAUCGGCGGGACAGGGUAUAUCGGUAAAUUCACUGUCGAAGCGAGCGUAAAAGCCGGCCACCCGACGUUCGUGCUCGUGAGAGAAUCCACAAUCUCUGGUCCUUCCAAAUCUCAACUCCUCGAUCACUUCAAAAACCUCGGCGUCAAUCUCGUCAUAGUGCGUUUUCAUUUUUCUCUUUUCUUAAUUUUUUAUUCCGAUCAUUUUUACACGUCGAAGUGUAGCAUCUACUACUUAAUAUACAUAAUGAUAUUAUUAUUUUUUAAUUUUUUUGGGUUGCUGUUAUUAUUAUGCAGGGAGAUGUGUUGAAUCACGAGAGUUUGGUGAAGGCGAUUAAACAAGUGGACGUGGUGAUAUCAACGGUCGGUCACACUUUAUUAGCUGAUCAGGUCAAGAUUAUUGCUGCCAUUAAAGAAGCCGGUAACGUUAAGGUAUAACAUAAUUAAUAUAAAUAUCUUGAAUUCCGAUCAGGAUUGUGCACUCGCGAACACGUGGUGAUUUAUUCUUGGUGUGGAGCUCGCUGUAGAGUAGAGCUCCCAGUUCAGCUAAUAAACACCCCGUCACAUGCGCAAUUGCGCCUCAAAAUAAUUUAAUUGAUUAAUUAAGGAUAAAUACCAAUGGCAUGAAAGCAAUUAAAAUUAGUUGAUGUUUAUAAAUUAUUUAUUACUCAGAGAUUCUUACCAUCGGAAUUUGGAAAUGAUGUUGAUCGAGUUGAAGGCGCCGUAGAGCCAACAAAAUCGACGUAUGACGUAAAGGCGAAAAUCCGCCGAGCCGUUGAGGCAGAAGGCAUUCCGUACACUUACGUAGAAUCUUAUUGUUUUGAUGGCUAUUUCCUCCCCAAUUUGUUGCAGCCUGAGGCCACUGCCCCCCCUAGGGAUAAGGUUGUCAUCUUAGGCGAUGGAAAUCCAAAAGGUAAUAUAAUUUAAUUAAGCUCUGUUUGUUUGGUAUGUAUUUCGGUGUUAAUGUUAUUGUCUGUUGUACAAUGGAUGGUCUUGCUUGGUACUGUUGUUGGAGAGCUGCAGUGUUUUGAUAAACACCUCUAUCCUUAGCUUUCAAGUUAAGUUGAUUUUAUACAACACUUGUUUAAUUCAAAACUUGUAAUAUUCUUACUACUUUGAUAAAAAAUAUUACGAUUAAAGCAUUAAUGGCACCAUAAUACGAAAUGAACCUUAAGUGGUCAUUAUAGAUUUUAAGAUAGAGUUUUAAGUGAUUACCAGAUACUUUAGCUGCUGAACCGCCACAUCAUGGUUGCCACACAACAAUUUCAAACAGAACCUAAAUAACUUCAUUGCAAAACAGUUAAAUGAAUCUAACUUAGUUUCGUCGUUUGAUUUUCAGCUGUUUUUAACAAGGAAGAUGAUAUUGGAACCUACACUAUCAAAGCGGUUGAUGAUCCGAGAACCUUGAACAAAAACUUUUACAUUCAGCCUCCCGGUAAUAUUUACUCAUUCAAUGAUCUUGUGUCUCUGUGGGAGAGAAAGAUUGGUAAAACCCUCGAAAAGGAGUAUGUUUCAGAGGAGCAGCUCCUAAAGAAUAUUCAAGGUUGGUUAAAACUCUCUUUUUUAAAUGUAUUAAAGAGAGCCGUAUAUUCUCUGCCGUAAAUGUCAUUGAUCCUGUCUUCUCCAAAAUGUUGCAGAAGCUGCACCUCCACACAAAGUGAUAUUAUCAAUUUAUCACUCUGCUUUCGUGAAGGGAGUUCAAACCAACUUCAAGAUUGAACCAUCUUUUGGAGUUGAAGCCUCGCAGCUUUAUCCUGAUGUCAAGUACACUACAGUUGAUGAGUACCUCAAUCAGUUUGUGUAACCCUUCGCUGUUUCCAGCUGCAGCUUGCAGGAUCUUGGACUGUUGGUAAAUAAAUAAUUGGCUUGUUGCCAUCUUUGGUUUUAUAUGUAAAAAUUAUGGUUGUUGGCCUUACUUUCUUCUGGUUGUCCAUGGAAUUUGUUAGACCAUAUUAUGUUUGCUAUGUCAGUGAUCAAAUGAAGUAGACCAUGUACUUGAUUUGAGAGUAGUAGUUAUAAAGCCAUCAUGAUCAGGUGGGUGCGUGGGUUGGGCUUCUAUUAGGGUGCGUGUGUUGGGGGGCUUCAGGGGCUUGUGAUAUGGGUUCGACAGCCCCUAACGGGCAGUCAUUAUAAAAAUGAUUAUAG
rnacentral:lncRNA from 1 species